GGUCUUAGGACCUUGGGUGAGUUCCGCGUGAGUGCAGGAGGAGAUGUUGAUGGUAGGAAAGCAUGUAGGCUUGAAUCUCUUAAAAACUUGGAACACCUUCAAGUAUGUGGUAUACGUAGACUGGGUGAUGUAUCAGAUGUGGGCGAGGCUAAGCGAUUAGAACUUGACAAAAAGAAAUACCUCUCUUGUUUGAGACUUCGGUUUGAUAAGAAGAAAGAAGGAGGAGAAAGGAGGAAGAACGAAGACGAUCAACUACUUCUUGAAGCCCUGCGACCAUCUCUGGAUUUAAAGGAAUUAGAGAUACAGUUCAACCGAGGCAACACUGUUUUCCCCAGCUGGAUGACGUCAUUAACCAACUUAAAGAGUUUAGGUCUCUCUUUGUGCGAAAAUUGCGAGCAGUUGCCUCCUUUGGGAAAAUUGCCAUCCCUCGAACAGCUCUUCAUAUCGUACAUGUCGAGUGUGAAAAGAGUGGGUGAUGAAUUUCUGGGGGUAGAAAGUGAUCGUCAUGACUCAUCGUCAUCUUCAUUAGUUAUUAUUGCCUUCCCCAAAUUGAAAUCACUUAGAAUUGAGGGAUUGAUGGAAUUGGAGGAGUGGGAUUAUGGGAUUACAAGAACGGGAAACACCGUCAUCAACAUCAUGCCCCAUCUUUCUUCCUUGGUAAUUGAUAGUUGCUACGAAUUAAAGGCACUGCCCGAUCACAUUCAUCAAACGACGACAUUGAAGCGAUUGUGGAUUUUGAAUUGUGGGCCUCUGGGAGAACGUUACCGCACGGGGGAAGGAGAAGACUGGCCUAAUAUAUCACACAUUCCCAACAUACAUAUUCGUUAAGAAGGAUUUGCGCAUUUGAGAUUUGGCGUUGACAAGUAAUUUCUUCUCUUACUCUGAUUUGCUUUUGUUGUUGUUUUUAAUCUAGUUAAGAAGUGUAAAUAGCAUUUUGAAUCAAACUCUAUAUCAGAAAUCUGCAAUACAUACUUUCUAAUAUUCUGAUUUUCAUAUCCUAUGAAUAUACGAUUUUUAAUUUGUGAGAUGGGUAACGUUACUGUAAAAGAUUAUUAAUGCAAUAUGAGUAAUUCUUUUGCAGGACAAGUGACCUACAUUUAGUUUGGCUUUGGAGUUGAAUAAUAACCUUUCGAGGUCCCGACAAACAAAAAACGAAGCUUAAUUUGCCACAGAUUGCACGUAUUGCCAUUAUUGACAAUUUUCUGCACAAGUGAUCGAGGGUGAGGUCCUGUCCUGAAUAAAGCUCUCGUGACUGAACUUAGGUUGAUGUCAAAAGAGGUAAAUUAUCGGCAUGCCUGACUAUUUUGACCAUUACAUGAUUCAUAAAUUGAGUGAUUACUUUUCAAGGUUUGCUUACUUAACCGGGUGACCAAUUUCUUGUAACUAAAUGUAUGAUAUGAAAUGAGAAGCUUAUUAGUGGAAGGAUUGCCUGUAACAGAACCCAAAGAAAAUGAAACCAUUUCAAGGCAGCAGCCGGCAGUUGGGAGUGAAUGGAGGGCCUUCACAAAAUUCUCAAGCAGUUGCAAUGCAAUUACGAUCAUCCUCAGCCUCAGGUAAUUUCUUCUCCUGCUUUGUUUUUAUUUGUUACCUAAUUAAGAAGCAUUAUUUGUUUUUAUUUGUUACCUAAUUGAAGGACAAGUGCUGAAGAGUGGGAAUGGUGCUAUAUUGGGGAAUAAUGCAGGAGGAGGUAAAUUAUUGGGAGUUUCUUCAACCUUGUUUUCUUUGAACCAGCGCCUGAUCCACAAGACUCCGUUAAUUUGGCUUUUGAUCGGCUGAUUGAUAAAUUUUCAAUUUCUUUUGUGAUAAAUGUAUAUGUGAAGCAGGCAGCAGGACAUGACUGUGGAAAAGAGAAGAUCUUAGUGAAAGCUGAGACUCAGAUAUUUCUACAAAGUAUGUGUUUUGGCUGAUUUAUCUAAUUCAUGAAAUUUUAUUUCCAUCUGUUACAAGAUCAAACUGAAGCAGAACUCAAAGAAAAGUAUUCUACUUCUUACGGCAAUCUUGCCUUCGUUCAGAUUAUGGAACCAUUUCCAUGCAGCAAAUUCAUCCAAAAGUUUGAAUAAGUUUCAUGGUUGGACACUGUUGGCUUCUUUUUCUUUUGGGGUGCAUUUAGGUGCUAUCAAGUGACAGCCGUAAGUAUGAUUGCACUAAGCUGCUGCUGGGAAAUUCGAGGUUUUGAUGGCUGCCCACGUUAUUGUCAAGAAACUCCUCAUGUAAGAAGUUGUAGUUCUUUUCAUCAGCUUGAACCUAAAACUGUCGCUAUUGAUAACUCAGGUUUUUGUUAUCAACUAUAUCAUCUUUUUCACUGUUUUGAAACUCUUUAAGAUUAAACUUCAGUAAAGUUCUUUCAGUUAUCCACAUAAUCAGGCUGAGGAUACUUUAGUAAAGUUGCUUCAGCUAUUCAAAUGAAAAAUCUCAUUGAUUUGAGACUUCCUUCAUUAUUGUUUUUGAUUAAAAUGCUAAGGGUCCAGAUAAAAUAAUAUUUAAUUGGUGGAAGGUGUCCCUUGGAAGUACAUCAUGAUUAGCUGUUGUGCUAAUCAUGCCAAUGCAUAAUUCGGCCCCUAAUGUGGGUACUCUGUUACAUUGUUCUGCAAAUUCUCCAAAAAAGUUAAAUCAAUAAAUUUUGUAUUAGCUAGAUUAGCUCUAGGUUGUGAGGAGUCUGUCAUAUGGGAGAACCCAUUUCCAGAAAAUAUCUGGUAUUUGUUCCAGUCUUCUAAUGAAUGAAAGUUAUGAUUCCUUUUCAAAAAAAAAAAAGAAUUUUGUAUUAGUUCUAGUGCGUUGACCUAAAUGCUAUUCUAUAUUUUAGUGCCUUAAUUCUAGAACCUUGGCUCCUGCCAGAGCAUGCGGAGAUAAUGGUAGGGAGAGUGUUUGUGUAUUUUAACCAUGAUAAAGCUAAUGUUCCCAAUGAUUUCUGCUGGUGAGACUUGUGAAGAGGGUGAAUGAGGCAACUGCUAAUAUUCCUGGGUGGGAUACAGUAACUAGAGGCUGAGAUCAGGUGGUGGAAUUUUUUGUUUGAUCGAUGAUACCAGAAUUGUCCACAAAAAGUUUGUUGAUACAAAUUACAGGUGAUAGAAAGAGGUAUAGGUGGAGAAGAGAAAUCUGCGAGUCAAAUUAGGGAUAAUUGAUUUGCUGAUGCAAGUUACAUUGAAUAAUAAUAAUAACAAUUGCAUGAAGAUCCCUUAUUAAUCUUGUGUUCUCCUAUCUUUUACAUUCAGCUGGUAUACUUAAGCCUUGCUUGUGGAAUGUUUUAACCUUUAAAUUCACUACCCCUGGAUGUUGGAUUUUCUAGAACUUCAAAAUGAUUAAUGGAGAAAGAUCCCAUUAUCGAUAUCGCUAUAAGAAAUUUUAUUUAUACUUCCAAAGAUACAUUAUAUAUUUAUGUGUAUCUCUUUAUACAUGACAUUUAAGCAUCCAUAAACUGUCAGACAGAGGAAGGGGGUUGAGUGUAAAGAUUCUGUUGACCUAGGGGUUGCCUGCUUAAUGUCACUUGUUAGUGAUCUAUUAUUUAUUUCAUAUUUUGAAGAAUUUAAAGGGCAAUCCUGCUUGUUUGUGUUGUUAUCUCCUUCUAACUUACGGUCGUACCUAAAGAGCAUAGUUUCAUAUGUGUUACCCUGAGAUGUACAGAAUUUCACAUUUGCCUCAGAUUAAGCUUAAUUUCCCACAGAAUAGAGCUGUUGUGACUGAACUUAGGUUGAUGUCAAAAGAGGUAAAUUAUUGGCAUGCCUAGAUAAUUUGACCAUUUCCUAAUUCAUAAGUCUACAUUAAUUUUGAUUUUGAGUUGACUGAUUUCUUUUCAAGGUCUGCUUACUUAACGGAGUGACCAAUGUUUUUCAACUAAAUUUAUCAUAUGAUGCAGGAAGCAGGGCAGGAUAUGAAAUGAGAAGCUCAUUGGUGGAAGUAUUGCCUGUAACAGAACCCAAAGAAAAUGAAACUAUUUCAAGGCAGCAGUUGGCAGUUGCAAGUGAAUGGAGGCCCUUGCCAAAAUUCUCAAGCGGUUGCAAUGCAAUUACGAUCAUCCUCAGCCUCAGGUAAUUUCUUCUCCUGCUUUGUUUUUAUUUGUUCUCUAAUUAGGAAGCAUAAAGUAUCUUGAAUCAUUUUCUGUAUCUGGAAUAUAUGCAAGAGUUUCUAAAAUUUUGAUAUGAGUGUAAUGAUGGUAAUUUCUGUUUUCUGUCUGUCAUCAAAUGUUAGAAAACUUUCAUUGAGACCCUUGAACCGAGUCAUUUUUGACAAGUGAAGUGCUGAAGAGUGAGGAGUAAGAAUGGUGCUAGAUUGGGGAAUAAAGCAAAAGGAGGUAAAUUAUUGGCAGCUUCUUCAGCCUUAUUUUCUUUGGACCAGUGCCUAAUUCACAAGUCUCCGUAAUUUGGCUUUUGACCAGUUGAUAGAUAAAAUUUUAAUUUCAUUGGUGCUAAUGUACCCGUGAAGCAGGCAGAGAAGGACUGUGGAAAAGAGAAGGUUUUUAGUGAAAGCUUAAACUCAGGUAAUUCUAAAAAUUAUAUGUUUUGGCUGAUUUAUCUAAUCAGGAAAUUUUAUUUCCAUCUGUUACAAUAAAACAGAAACAGAACACAAAGAAAAAUAGUCUACCUCUUGUGGCAAUCUUGCCUUCAUUCAGACUAUGAAACCAUUUCCUUUCACCAAUUUCUUCCAAAAGUUUGAACACGUUUCAUGGUUGGACAUAGUUAGCUUCUUUCUCUUUUGGUGCAUUUAGGUGCUAUCAAGUGACAGCCAUAAGUAUGAUUGCAUUAUUGGGAAAUUUUAGGUUUUGAUGGCUCCCCAUGUUAUUGCCAAGAAAUUUUAAGUCCUCAUGUCAGAAGCUGCGUUUCUUUUCAUCAGCCUGAACCCGAACCUGUCACUAUGGAUAACUGAGGUUUUUGUCAUCAACUAUAUCAUCUUUUUCACUGUUUUGAAACUGUUAAGAUUAAACUUCAGUAAAGUUGUUUCAGUUAUCCAUGUAAUCAGGCUAAGGAUAUUUAGCAGCUUAUUUAGGCAACUGCCAGAAUUUAGUUUGUUCGCUCGAAACUUGUAUGGUGACAAGGAUACUGGCAAGGAUAGUGAGAUAGUUUUUUGUGUGAGUGAAUUUUGAAAGCUUGGGUGUUCUGGGAUUUGCAAUUGCAAUCAUCCUCUGCUUUAGGUGAUUUCUUCUCCUGUUCUGUCUUUAUUUUCUCUCUAAUUGAAAGCAUUUCAAUCAAAUUCUGUACCAGGAAUACGAAAAAUUUACUAAUAUUUUAUUUCCAUCUGUUUGCAUUGAUAACUUGGCCGCAUAUGUACUAGUUAAAGAACAAACAGAAGCAGAGUUCAGGAAAAAGUUUCUUCGGCCACCAUAUUUGAAAAUGAAACCAAUUCCAGGAAGCAGUUGGCAGCAAAUUCAUACAAAGUAUAGACAAUGAUGUGCAAAAAGGUGAUUCGCAAUUUCAUUUUUUUAAAAUGAAAUUAUUUGUUAAGUUGGAGCUGAUAUUGUUAGAAGGCCAUUGAGCUAACCUAUGACACUGCUUGCCUAGAUUGCAGGAGGUCAAGGCUCAAAAGAUGCACUGAAUUUUAAAAGGCAUGCAAUAAUUCUUAUGGCCAUUUGUCAAUGGUGGAAUGCUUUUAGCUUCUUUUCCUUUCGUGCAUUUUGGGGUUCUAUCAAGCGACAGCCGUAUGUAUGGAUGGAUAUAGCUGCUGCGUUGAUUUCUAAUGCGGUGGAGUAAUCGUCGUUAGAAUCUGAAUGAUAUGUCUAAGACGUUGCAUGCAUCAAGAAAAUUGCAGAUGAUUAAACCUUGCCAUCUAUGCGUUGUAUGAGGUUAUAGCAACUAUCUAUCUGGUCACCGUUUUAAAAGAAUAAGACAAAGGGAAAAAGAGAAAGAAAAGAAUGAUUCGACAAUGGCAUUAAAGUUCAACAUACCCCAAGAUCUUGUAAUAAUGCCAUUAAUCAUUUCUAGCUAGGCUAGCCUUAGAGAAAAGUGAAACUGUUGCACAGGUAGAAUCACACCCCUCAGAGAUAAUGUGUUUUUAUUCAGCUCUUCGAAUGAAUGAAGUUUAUUUUCUCGUCAAAAAAAAAACUGCUCGUUCCGCUGGUUUCAUACAAUGUCAACUAGAAACAUCAUACUUUCGUAUAAGUUCAUUAUUGUUUCUUGGAAAUAUCAGAAUAUUUCUUAGAGUUUGUAUAAAAUGAAAAGAUUUUAAAAUAUAAAUUUAAUAUUUGUUUAUUACCGUUGUUUGGUCUAAUUUCCUCGGGAGAAUUUUCAGAAUUUAUAGGACAUUAGUUUAUAAUUUGCGCAUUGACAUAUAUCUUAUUUUAUCAUUUUGAAUGAAUUGCACGGCGAGGCUUAUCAACUUUGGAUGAAUCCUCCAAUUGUCGCAGUCCAAGACUGGCUGCAGUGAGUGAAAAUUUACCCAUAUAUAUGCUGGCUAUUUUUAUUGGCGACGAAUUCGUUGUAGUUGGUCCAUCUUGCUAUUCUCGGACAAUAUUAGAGAAAAUAAUCAUAUUAUUUCGCGUGAUGUGACCUUCCAUAACUUAUCAAUUGAAUUACUGUAAAAUUAUUGUGUAAGUUUAGGCCCAAUGGCACUUUAGUUCGAUAGCCUGGAUUUAAAAGGAAAACUAUAUUGCAUUGCUUCAAAAAAAAAAAAUUAAUGUUUUUAAUAUGAAUAUUCUUAACUAUAUUCAGUUAAAAUAAUAUAUUCUUAAUAUUAAUAUUCAUAGAUGAAAUUCUUUUGUGGAUUUAAGAAUAAAAUAUCAAAUAGUUUUAUUUUUCUUUUGUUGUGUAACUUGGACCGAAAAAGAAAAUGAGCUUAACAUGACCCUCCUUCCGGCACUAUGCAUGUUUUUCUUUUAUUGAUGACAGUGCUCUUGGUGCUUCUCAUCUGCUUCUUGCUUUGGUUUCAAACAAGUCUUUCUCCGUCGAGACAUUUAUUGUAAUUUGAUUUGGAGACAUCUGUCGUUCAAAUAUAUUUCAUAUGCAAGCUGUUGAUAAUUCUGCUUGAGAAAGCCUACAAAGCAGCUGUGUGAUGUAAUAGAAGACUAUAUAUGCAAACGGUCAUCAGUUUCUCUUGAAUUCUUUCUUGAGUUUCUUUGAAUUAUUUGUGAAUGAGUUCUUAAUCGGCUGCUGCUCUUCAGGAAAAGGAAAGUGUUGCAAACUGGUGAAGCUGAUCGAUAAAAGCAAUGUACCAUCUUUGCUGGCAUGGAUCGAUGCCAGUGAGUUUUUUUAUUUGUCAACCUUUUUAAUAAUGCAUAUGUUUUUCUUCAACUUGAAGCGGCAUAUAAGACGAAAGAAGUGAUCUUUAAAGCAUUCUAUGGCAUUAUCCUUUCCUAUUAUAUAUAUCCAAUUGCUCCAAAUUAUUUGUAAAUUACUGAACACGAAUGCUGAUGAAUAAACUGAUGGCUCUAUGUAUGUAUGCACAUGCAUGGAGAAAUUUUAAGUCAGACAUUCUCAUAUAUAACUCGUGGGACCAAAUCAUUAAAUAAUCUUGAAAUCAAAGUAAUAAUUAAAUACAAAUAAAUUGCUCGAAUUGUACAUAUAUCUGAAUCAUGUAGUGAAGAAAAUACAACAACAACAACCAAUGGCUCAAAUUCCCCAUCAACUUCUAGUCUCAACACUUUUGAGUGUCAGAAGCAUUACUCUGCUACCAGUUAACAAACAUAUAAUUAGUAAUUUGCCAUUCACUUCCCUUUUAGGCCUAACACAUUUUCUAUAAAGGAGCCACAGAGUGAACUCAGCAGGAAACACUCAAUUUCAACCUACGUAGGACCAGGAAUUUCAACAAAAAAAAAAGUGUGCAAUUGCUUAUCCUAUCCUAUUGCUACUAGAAAGAAAGUGAACAAUUAAUUUCAGUGAAUAAAUUAAAAAAAAUUACUUCUGCAGAUACUCAAGCUAAGAACACAUUAACCCAUUAAAGACUCCAAAUUGCAUCAAACAAAUUGUUGUUAAACAAGUAAAACAAAGAAAGAGAGUUAAGGAAGCUGACCUAGUAGUAGGGGAGCUGAAGAAAGACUGCCAGUGAAUGUAAGAGAAAAUAAAAUGCAAGAAAUGGUGAAGUGCAGCUUUUCAUGUCAACUUGAAAUUGUUUCUUCUGUUUUUUGUAAUCUUUUGGAUUUUUCAAACAAAGAAAAUGAGGAGCAACCAGGGAGAUAAAAAGGGCGCCAAGGCAACUGUGUGUUGGGUUUAGAGCCAAAAAAAAAAAAGAAUAAGACAUCGUGUUCUUGUGGAGACCAGACCUAUUACGUAUAGGGAUGGCAAUGGGGCGGGGUGGGGGUGGGGAUGCCUACCCCAUUCCCCACCCCAUUAAAAAUUUUUGCCUCCAUUCCCCACCCCAUUCCCCAAUAAAUUUAGUGGGUUGGGGAUGGGGAAUCCCCACGUGGGGAAUGAUUCUCCCAUCCCCACCCCAUUCCCCAUUUACAUAUUUUAUAGUAGAUAUAAAAAUAUGAUUUCAGUAAAUUAAAAAUUAGAGACUUAAGAUAAAAUCAUCACAAUAUUAUAAAGUAUUUAAUUUUAAAAAAAAAUCUCUAAAAAUUUGAAACAAUAUCUUAAAAUGAUAUUAAAAGUGAAAAAUAUUUAAAGAAAGCAGCACCUUAAAAGAGAAAAGAAAAUAUAUUAAUGUUUUAAAGUUGAAAAAUAUUGUAGAAUUUUCUUUUAUUCAUAUUCUAUUUAUAUUACAUAAAAAUUAAAAAAAAUUAUUAAUUGACAUUAUAGUUGAUAAAAUAUAAAUUAUUAAAUAAGAAUUAAAAACAUAUUUAUAUAUAAUGGGGAUUGGGGUGGGAGUGGGGUGGGGAGUGCAAUACCAAACCCCACCCCGUUAACAAUUUGGGGAUUAUUUUUUCCCCACUCCCCACCCCAUUCCCCAAAAAUUAUUAAAAAAUUUCCCCAUUUGGGGUGGGGCUCCAUGGGGCCCCAAACCCGUGGAGGAUUUUGCCAUCCCUAAUUACGUAACGUCCCCUUCAAUACCACUUGUUCCGUAUCUGGUUUUUUCUUCGUCUUUUACAUAUUUAUCCUGUGAUUUUACAAUAACUAAAUAAUCCCCGCAUAGUUUGCAAUUUUAUUCAUUUGGGCCCUACAGAUUUCAGUAAUAGGAAUUAUUAAGGGACAAGAGCGCAAAACAGAAACUCUGUCCACUACUGAUGAUAUAACAACGAACCUUUGUAGUUUCUGCCUGUUAAUAUGAAUUGAUCAGGAGUGUUUCCUCACUUACAAAUUACGAAUUUACAAAAUAUGUAUGUAAGUAUGUGUGUACGUACGUGUGUAUGUAUGUACAUAUAUGCAUACACCUAUGUAACAUUUACUUAUACAUUCUUUUGAGUUUAAAUCUUAAUACACAUUUUCAUGAAAUUUUUAUUUUAUUAAGUAUACAACUACAUACAACUACAUUAAUGUAUAUAUUUUUUAUAUAAGACAUGCCGUCCUAUUAUUCAUAAGUAAACAAUGUGUUGUAAAUAGUAUUCUGUGUUUUCUCAAAGUUGACUUUUCGUCUUUUAUUUUCAGACGCAGACGCUAUGUCAUUUUGUAAUCUUCAAAACAUAUGCAGAGCAGAAUUGGUGUUAUAUGAUUUUGUGAUGCAAUAAGAUUUGCACUUCCUGUGCACUCAAUGGAAUCAUUUCUUUGUAACUAAUUGGGUGGUGGAAUGGUGGUCAAAUAUCGAACGAAGACAGAUCUAUCAAACUCCAGAAACAGGGAAACCAUGCCACGCUAGUAGACAAUAUGCUAGUAUGAACAAACUUGUUUGAAUGGCAAAAACGACAUGACCUGCUGUAGUAUUAGUUCUUUCCCGAACCAAAGGGUGAUUUGCUACGUUAGAUCAUGAAAAUUGAAAAAAAAAAUUAACCAAAAUAAAAAUUCUUACGGUAAGAAUAAAAAUUCUUAAGGAAUUAGUUAGUUAAUUGAUUGAUCGAAUUUAAUCUAAAUUGGAAAAUGAUAAGAUAAUUUUGAAUUUUUUAUUAUAAUUAUUAUUUUAAAGUGGGGUGGGUUUAUACAAUUUGAGGCUUUGAGCGGUGUAAAUAUCACUGCUGAAUUAUUAAAUAUACAGUGUAAAAUUUUGACCUUUAAAAUAUUCCUUUUUUUCAUUUAGCACUAUAAGUUUAAAAAUUUAACAUUUUACCUCAAUAAUUAAAUACUUUUAACUUUAAUCUUCAAAUAUUUACCCUACAACAUUCGGACCUAAAUUUUUAAUCCGACUCGGCCCCUGACCCAAGUGGGAAGAAGAUCAGGCUUAUAAGUUAUAACUAUCACCAACAUAACAUCUUCUGGAAAAUAAUAAGAUUACUCACCUGCAAUUAUGUGAUCAAACUAAUGGUAAGCAAAAUAGAACAGCGUUAUUUCAGUCCCCUUUCAGUUUCUUUAUCAUUUUUCUUUUCCUAUUUAUAAGCUUAAUUCGGUCCAAUAUCGGCUAAUUCACUUUGAUUUCACUUUUCUUUCUUUCGGUUCAAAAAAAUUGAACCCAUUGGCUGUCAAUUCAAUUUUGUUGAAAACCAACUUUGCCUGAAUUUGAGUAAUAAUAGAGGAAAAAAAAAGUGUACUUAGCAGAAGAGAUUUCUCAUUUUUUUCUCAUUCAAACUUCUAAAAUAAAGGGAAAAAAAAAACAAGAGUAAUUGUUAAUUAUCAAAAAUUUGUUUAUACUAUUCCACCAAGAAAAUUAUAAAAAAAAAAUUUAAAAAUUGGAGAAGAAAUAUGAGGUGAAAUACGUGGAUGGCUUAGACUAAUAAUGUGAACAAAUUCCUCUCGGAAACAUGUCAUUGUUCAUCCGGACAACACGCGGCAAUGAGAUUCAAGAAUUAAAUGAUAGGAAUCAACUGUAACCUCAUAAACAAAUGGCCUUGGAGUUGUAAACACCAAGCUCGGCAGAUUAAUUAAACAAGAAUAUCCGAAUUUUCUAUGAUAAUCUCUAGGAAACGAUCAGCUAUAAUAUACGAAAUUAAAAUAUUGCAUAUAUUUUUGAACUCAUGCAUUAAUUUCAAAAAUUAUAUCGUAUUAUAAUUUAUUCACAAAAGAAAGAAAAAUUCACUAAUCAAUUGAAUAAAUAUAAGUAUUUCAUCCAGUGUAAUACUUAUAUCAAUUGAAUAAAUAUAAGAAAAAUCACCAAAAUUCACUAAUCAAUUGGAUAAAUAUAAGUAUUUCUUCCAGUGUAAUUUUUGUUUAAUAGAAAAUCUAUUUGAGAUUUUGUGAGAAGAAACUCAACAAUAAAGUGUGAUAGACUUUGUGGGUAUUAAGAGUUUGACAAGUAUUUGAAAUCUGAAGUUUACGAGCAAACAAACUGAAAUCCGAAGUUUACUGAAGUUUACUAUCAAGAGUUUCAAAACAGUGAAAAAGAUGAUAUAGUUGAUGACAAAAACCUGAGUUAUCCAUAGCGACAAGUAACAUACUGAAGUAAGCCGUUGGGAGCUGGCCUGUUCAUGGGCUAUUUUUCUCUGAUGAUCUGCAUUUUUCUUCCUUUUAAGUGAACCUUGACUCGUAUCAAACCUGUCAAAAGAACAGUUCAUCAACUGAGCUGAGAUUUGCUUUCCUUUUUCAAAACCCACCUGAGAUAUUGUAAUUCCCAAAUUUCUCUCUCUCAGCUACACGAGCAAGCAGCCGCUUUUUCACUUCAUCGAAGAAGGUAAGCGAUAUAUCUAUUUCGUCCGAUUGAUUUCUUGUUUCCUUUUCAGUGUUCCGGUAAAUUAUUGGCAUGCCUGACUUUUUGACCAUUACACGAUUCAUAAAUUUAUAUUAAUUUUGAUUUUGAGUUGACCGUUUACUUUUACAGGUUUGCUUACUUUGACUAGGUGACCAAUUUCUUGUAACUAAAUUUAUGACGUGGGCAGGAUAUGAAAUGAGAAUCUUAUUAGUGGAAGGAUUGCCAGUAACAGAACCCAAAGAAAAUGAAACCAUUUCAAGGCAGCAGUUGGCAGUUGGCAGUGAAUGGAGGCCCCUGACAAAACUUCAGUAAACUUCAGAUUUCAGUUUGUUUGCCCGAAAAUUGCAUGGUGACAAGGAUACUGGCAAGGAUAAUGAGAUAGUUUUUGUGUGAAUGAAAUUACGAUCAUCCUCAGCCUCGGGUAAUUUCUUCUCCUGCUUAGUUGUUAUUUGUUACCUAAUUAAGAAGCAUAAAGUAUCUUGAAUCAUUUUCGUUGUCCGGAAUAUAUGCAACAGUUUUUUACGAUCAUCCUGAAUGACUACUAGAGACAGUCAAGCUAAUGACUAUAAAUUAAGCGCUUCUUGGGAGGUAACCCAAGCUUUCUAAACUUUAUUAUUGUCAAUUUUUUUUCAUAUUUUUUUCUUUUCUUUUACUUAUUUUAUUUUGUUUUAUCUAGAUUUUGCACGAGUUCGAGGGUCGAUGAACAUCAACUUUCCACAUGUCUUUCAACGGCUUAGCUACAACUUUACAUCUUCAAGUGCAAAACCGGGGGAGUUUCUCUUUUCCUUUUCUUUUUCUUUACAUUGAGGACAAUGUUUAUUUUAAGUUUGGGGGUGGGAAUAUUUGCUUUUCAUUUUUUUCCCAAAAAAAAAAGAUUUUAAUGCCUAUGAUGAGUUUAUGAUUGAAAAUGAAUAUGGUUCUUAGAAAGGGAUGAAUAUUAUCUUAGUUUAUACUUGAUUCUUGUGUUAGUUUCGUCUUGAUUGAGAUUCUUUAAAGCGAUUCUUUUAGAAUUUUGACUUGAGAUUUGAGAUUGAUACAGCCUAAGUUGAGAAUUUUAGAUUGAGUAAAUGAUUGUUUGCCUCGAUUCUACAUUACUUAAGUUUACCCAGGCACCAUAGUCAGAAAUAGCUACCUACAACCCUUAAGAGUGAAGCUAUCCUCGAGUAAUUUGGGCCUAUGUAUCACCAGUAUGUAGAGGAUAAUCUACCAUGAGAAGAAGGUUACCUUAAGGGGUAGAGUGAAAGCUCCUGACUAUGGACAAAGAAAUGAAAAAAAAAAAGAAAAAAAAAAGAGCACGAGCUUCAAGAAAAAUCAAAAGAAAAUGCUAAUUUAUGCCUGAGAAAAAAAAAAAAAGAUCAAGAUGAUGAGGUUAGUUUGACCUACCCUGUUUAUUAUUCGAGACAAGGGCUGUUGAUGUUGAAGAUCUUGAGAAUGAGUUUUGAUUGAAUUGAUUCACACACAACACAUGAAUCCAAUAUGAGAUGAGGCUGACCAUUGAAUUAAAGUUAGAACUUUGCUAGUAUUUUUAAUUUUCUUUGAGCUAUAUACUUUAUGCAAUCUUUGAGGCAUUUUUUAUGAUGUUUGUGGGUAUCAUCGCUGGAAACCCUCACGAGACUAUAACUCGUCCACUAGGGCCGCCUAGGGGUUUAAAGGCUUGUUGCAUACGCUAAAUGCAAUCGCGAUCACCUGCGAAAGUGGUUUAGUUAGAAUUUUCUUUUCGUAGUUUUUAUUUUAGUUUUUGCUCGAGGACUAGCAAAAUGUUAAGUUUGGGGGUAUUUGAUGUGCUCAUAAUUUAUCUAUUAUUUUAAUGCUUCCAUAACUUAAUUUUAUGUUAAAUUAUAUUUUAUUAUAUUAAUUUUUAUCUUAAUUUUUAUAUUUUGUCAUUGUAGGAAUAUUGAGAAUAUUCAUGAGAAAAGAAGCUUAAAGAGGAAACAAGUUGGAGUAUAAUGGAAAUAAUGUGGAAGCAAGAGGGAAAGAAAUAAAAAGCCAAAUCAAAGAAAAUUUAAUUUAAGCAUCAUGCAUGCAGUCACGUGAUGAAUAAAGGAAGAGAAGAAAAGGUCAAUAGGCUUUUAAUUUCAAGCUAGUUACGUAGAGCCCAUUUGACAAUUUAAAUGGCAAGCUUACAAUAUAUUAAAGGAAGCAAAUAUUUUGGCAUUGUUUGAAAAGGCUAUUCACGUGGAUGGGCUUUGGUUUCAAUUUUGAUUGGCUUAGGAAUGAAAUAGGCGGCUGGGCUUUUGUUUUUAAUUCCUUUCAUAAGAGGAUUUGACAAGCCACAACAUUAUAAAAAGGGAAAAGCCAAGCGGAAGCCAAAAAAAAAAAAAAAAUAAUAGAGCAGCAGCCGCAAGUUUUGAGCAAAACCGAGAGCAGCAUGAAUAAUUUGGAGCAGAAGGAAGACACAUUAAUUCUUGAGUUUUUCUUUCUCUCUUCUCUAUUAUCUUAUUUGAAUGUUUCCCAUUAAAUUCAUGGAUUAUCUUUAUAUUCCCAUGAACUAAUUUAUUUUACUAGAGCUACGAUGUCCUAGUGUUUUAAUCUCUUGGUGAUUUCUAUUACUGCUUGCAUCUUUAUUUGAUUUUUAGUUAUUUUAAUUUUUAAUUUAAAUUCGCUUAUUUGAUUGUUCAAAUAAAUUAGGGUUAGGAUAAUUUCGGUAACUAAUAGGAUAUUCAAUCUCAGUGGGAUGAUACUCUACUCUUCACUAUAUUACUUGUGCCGACUAGUACACUUGCUAAUUUAUGCAAUAGUUGACAGUUGGGAGUGAAUGGAGGCCCUUGACGAAACUUCAGUAAACUUCAGAUUUCAGUUUGUUUGCUCGAAACUUGCAUGGUGACAAGGAUACUGGCAAGGAUAAUGAGAUAGUUUUUGUGUGAAUGAAAUUAUGAUUAUCCUCAGCCUCAGGUAAUUUCUUCUCCUGCUUAGUUGUUAUUUGUUACCUAAUUAAGAAGCAUAAAGUAUCUUGAAUCAUUUUCGUUGUCUGGAAUAUAUGCAACAAUUUUUAAAAUUUUGAUAUGAGUGCAAUGAUUGUAAUUUCUGUUUUCUGUCUGUCAUCGAAUGUAAGACAACUUUAUUAAGAUUCUUGAACCGAGUCAUUUUUGACAAUUGAAGGACAAGUGCUGAAGAGUGGGAAUGCAAAAAGUUUUGUUGUUUUUAGCCUUGUUUUCUUUGAACCAGCGCCUGAUUCACAAGACUCCAUUAAUUUGGCUUUUGAUCAGCUGAUUGAUAAAUGUUCAAUUUCUUUGGUGAUAAAUGUAAUUGUGAAGCAGGCAGCAGGGCAUGACUGUGGAAAAGAGAAGAUUUUAGUGAAAGCCGAGACUCAGAUAAUUCUACGCGUUUUGGUUGAUUUAUAUAAUUCGUGAAAUUUUAUUUCCAUCUGUUACAAGAUCAAACUGCAAUUAGCAAUUUAACAUUCCCUUAAAACCACUAGCUACAUUUCAUCUUUGCACAAUUACACUUAAAAUUCCACUAAAAGAAACUCUUGAGUUGCUCGCAAGCUAUAUAUCAUUAUUCAUUGAAUUCUUACUGUUGAUGCGAGAUUCUGGUUACACUCUUCCGGCUACCAGGAUAUCUGCUCGAUCAACCUCACCUCGACUAGGAUCUCUCCUCGUAUGCUUUCUUCUCCAAGUACUCAUGCGUUCACAGAAACAAGUCAGAGCACGCCGGUUGUUUUCCCGGCGUAAACCCUCCGACGCUCAAGUCAGAUAUGAAGGCUUUGGGAACGCUUGCCACAGAUCUUAUGGCUUUGUAAAUAGUUUUCUCUUCUUUUCAAUUUCCUUAAUCUCUCUUCUAAUCUCGAAAUUGCUAACCCUUUUACCUUCGCUGGCUACCUUUUUAUAGGCCACUUCUGAGCCCAGGCCUUUUUCCCUUUGCGCUCGUCAUCCUCCCACUUCUCGAAAGUGGAUGCUCCAUUUCCGUAGUCGUGGGUGGUUGCGUGGCCCUCGUGCCUAGAUUCUCGGACUGGAAAGCAUGCCACGCCAACUGUCGUUGACCGGGUCUUCUCGAAUCAACCCUUAGCAGGAAUACAGCAGGAAUGGCUUCAGGCUUCUUAUAGGAGAUUGGCCUCGCGGAUGACGUGCUCGUGGACGAGCAGGGUAUUCCUGCUCCUGCUCCUGCUCCCCCGGAUGCCAGGCUCUUACGGGACCCAUCGGCUCGCAGAACUCUACCAUCAGAUAUCUGCUCAUCAUGCCUGGUCUCGUCGACGUAUUUCUCCUAAACACCGGUCCCCCAGUUUCUGGUGUUGGGUAAUGUAGUGGACCAGCAGUAGAAACUCGACAGUACUUGCUCGCGUGGGGUUGGAAAAGGCUUCCAAGAGUCAUGUCGCAUUUAAUUGCGGACGAGGUGAUGUGGCAGAGAUCUAACCCUCCAUUUGAAUUUCAAACCAACGGUUACGAGACCCUUGGGAUUUGGUGCCGUUAAAUGCUGGCAACCCAAGAUUUCGUCCCCAUUAGGAAACCCAAAUCCUUUCGAACGACAAAUUCAUCAUUCACUCCGUCUCCAUCUCUGUCUCUCCGGCAAAGAAGUUCCAGCAUAAAGGCCUCCAUCUCUGUCUUUCACCGACUGAACCAUUACUUCAGGUAUUUCUUCUAUUUCCUUAGUCUCGGAUAGUUGUAGAUAAUUUCUCUUCUCUUUUGCUUGGGUAGUAGUUGGUGGUGGUGUUGUGGUUAGAGCUUAGGGAAUGUCGAAAGGCAAAGAGAAUGUCAUUGAGGUUGACGACGAUGAGUUGGACUUCCUGCCUAGUUUGCUCACCGAUCCUGCUUUUGACCCCGGGAUCCCCUUAGAGCUCAUUAGAUCUAGUGUUGGCACUAGCGCUAGGAGGAUGUCCCCCCAAACAACCUCCACGAGUGGAAGUAGUGGUGAGGAGAGACCCUCUGGCUCGGAAGACACCCUAAGUGAGGAUCAAUGAGGUGACUCUGGGGAGGGGUCUUCACCAGGAACACCGCGACCAGAAGGGUGUAGUACAGUAGGAGGUAGAGCCUUGUCGCGGGAUUAUGCCAUUGAUUACAUGACCUGUACGACCACAUUCAACGAGCUGGAUGACCUCCGGCUCAGGUAUAGCAUUCCUGGUGAAAUUCCUCUCAAGAUCCCAGGAAAGAAGGAUACACCUAGCCGGCCUCCUCGGGGAUACGUUACCCUAUUUUUGGAGAGUUUUAGGCAUGGGCUGAGGUGUCCCUUGCAACCCUACUUUGCCCGGAUUCUUAACGGGCUAAACCUAGCUCCUGGUCAGCUGAACCCCAACGGGUGGAGAGUGCUCUCUGGUCUGUUCAUACUGUGGGACAGAUGUUGUCAAAGCGAGCCCACGGUCGACGAGGUGAAGCACCUGUACCAACUGAAAAGCAGCCCCAAAGACGUCGGCUGGUAUUACUUCCAAUCAAGUACCAAGAUCAGAAAACCCAUAACCGAUCUUCUUACUGGUGAUGGUGGGAAUUGGAAGAGGAAGUUCUUCUUCGCAGGGGGUCCCUUGUUGUUUGCACUUCACUGGUUUGUCUCUAAUCAAAUGUUUGUUUGUGUUGCAGGUUCUUGGGGUGUCCACUUCCCGCUUAAACCUGACCAGCUCAAACGAGUCGAGGCUGUACUAGCCAAUUCCUGCUCGAACCGAGAGCUGUUAACUAUAUACAACUUGCUCGAGUCUCGCUUGAUGCUUCCUGGCCAUAGGAUGGAGGACGCUGUGAUUGGGGCUCUGACCAGGAAACGUUCUCGACCUCCAACCACGAAGAGGGACCAGAGUAAGGACGCCCCUACUGCAAAGCGGGCCAACGUCGUGCAGCAGGUCUCUCCCUUGAAGACUUUACCUCCUGCUCCUGUCAAAGUCGGGGAAACUAGUGGAGCAGCCACAGAUCCUGCUUCCUCUUCUUCUCCUGUCGGCACUCGGUCUCGCUUACCUGACAGCCGAUCAGAACAAUUGGUCCCCUAUCUCAAUGAGUUAUCUAACCUCGUGAGCAAGAAUGACAUGGAGGACUUCGAUGGCUGCACCUUGGGUGAGCUGGUGGGGGCCAUGCAGUAUAGCGCUUUUCACCUCAGCUGCAUGACCACCUAUUACAAGGCCAAGGUUGGGCGCUACGACCGAAAGAUGAAGGAGGACAUUCAAUCGGCGACGACUAGAGCUGGCGUUGCCGAGAAAAAGGCAGGGGAGCUGAAUGUUGAGAACCUCAAGCUGAUGGAGCAGGAAUCUCUUGCUCAAGCAAAAGCCAUUACCCUCGAGGAGGAGCUGACCAAGGUCAAGGGGGAUCUGCAAAGGCAGAAGGCCACGUAUGAGGCUCAGCUCGAAUCCCUCCGCGACUCCCACCGGGCUCACGUCGAGAACUUGGAGAGGGAGGCCAAGAACCAGUAUGACCAGGGACUUCGGCAUUCCUAUCGUUGCAUCAUGGCCGUCCUCGGGAAGCAGCACCCUGAUCUGAAGAUGGAUGAUCUUGCAGUUGGUGUUGCUCAACAUAUGGACGAGGAAGCGGCCAAGGAAGAUGCCGAAGGGGUAGAGCCGAUCGUGAUUGAGGGGGAAAACUCUCCUCCUCGCACAAUCCCUGCUGACGUUGGCGAGGCGAGCACCGCUACUGAUGUUGGCGAGGCGCGCACCCCCCCGGACGCAACUGGUGAUACCCCCCCCCCGCACCUGAGGAGGUCCAGCCAACCAAUGCUGCUCGGCUUACUGAUCCGCCAUCUUCUUGAUAUAUUUCUUGUAUUGUAAUGAACAACGUUGAUGGAGAUUAUCUCCUCUGUUAAUUAUUAACACAUAAAUAAAGAUGUUUUUGAUUAUUUUCGUGUUGUAAUCAUGAGUUAUUUUUCGUUUAAUAAUCUGCCCGUCAUCGUCUGGUUGAGCAGGUUCUGGCCUGGCAUAUGGUUUUACCACAUGCCCUAGAAAAUUCUUCAAUGAUUGAGAUUCUGCUCGCCUUCGCGUGGUCGAGCAGAUCCUGGCACGCUUGGCUUCUGUCUCGCCAUAAACAGGCUUUGAGACUCGACGAGCCUUUGCAUGCCUUAGAAAUAUUUUUUUUUUUCGAUGCUUGGGGGUUCUGCUCGCCUUCGCGUGGUCGAGCAGACCCUGGCACGCUUGGCUUCUGUCUCGCCAUAAACAGGCUUUGAGACUUGACGAGCCUUUGCAUGCCUUAGAGAUUUUUUCGAUGCUUGGGGAUUCUGCUCGCCGUCACGUGGUCGAGCAGAUCUUGGCACGCUUGGCUUCUGUCUCGUCAUAAACAGGCUUUGAGACUUGACGAGCCUUUGCAUGCCUUGGAGAUUUUUUCGAUGCUUGGGGAUUCUGCUCGCCGUCACGUGGUCGAGCAGAUCCUGGCACGCUUGGCUUCUGUCUCGCCAUAAACAGGCUUUGAGACUUGACGAGCCUUUGCAUGCCUUAGAGAUUUUUUCGAUGCUUGGGGAUUCUGCUCGCCGUCACGUGGUCGAGCAGAUCCUGGCACGCUUGGCUUCUGUCUCGCCAUAAACAGGCUUUGAGACUUGACGAGCCUUUGCAUGCCUUGGAGAUUUUUUCGAUGCUUGGGGAUUCUGCUCGCCGUCACGUGGUCGAGCAGAUCCUGGCACGCUUGGCUUCUGUCUCGCCAUAAACAGGCUUUGAGACUUGACGAGCCUUUGCAUGCCUUAGAGAUUUUUUCGAUGCUUGGGGAUUCUGCUCGCCGUCACGUGGUCGAGCAGAUCCUGGCACGCUUGGCUUCUGUCUCGCCAUAAACAGGUUUUGAGACUUGACGAGCCUUUGCAUGCCUUGGAGAUUUUUUCGAUGCUUGGGGAUUCUGCUCGCCGUCACGUGGUCGAGCAGAUCCUGGCACGCUUGGCUUCUGUCUCGCCAUAAACAGGCUUUGAGACUUGACGAGCCUUUGCAUGCCUUGGAGAUUUUUUCGAUGCUUGGGGAUUCUGCUCGCCGUCACGUGGUCGAGCAGAUCCUGGCACGCUUGGCUUCUGUCUCGCCAUAAACAGGCUUUGAGACUUGACGAGCCUUUGCAUGCCUUAGAAAUUUUUCACAGUUUCAAGUGAAUGAAAUUCCUCGACGUUCCAUUAAUUGUAGGAUUCAACUUACAUGAAAAUGUUUGGUCGUAAAAUAAAUAACAGCAAAUACGAACAGAAAGAUCUUGAAAAUAUUAACGACUCUUACUGGAAAUAUUUCCUGAGAUGUGCUGCGUUCCAUGGGCGCUUCACCUCGUGGCCAUCCAUGCGAACCAGCUUGUAAGCUCCUGGUCCCACUAGCUGCUUGACUCUAUAUGGCCCCUCCCAAUUUGGACCGAGCACUCUUUGAGUCGAGUCUUUGGUGUUCUGAUUCACUCUCCUUAACACCCAAUCUCCGACCUUGAACUGCCGUAUGUUCACCUUCUGGUUAUAAUACCGGGCAACCCUCUGCUGGUAAAUGACUGAUCGCUCGGCUGCUUGCUCCCUCUUUUCCGUUAGCAGAUCAAGAUUCAAACAUAUCUGCUCGUCGUUCUCCUGUUCAUUGAAAUGAUAUGUCCGGUGCGUGGUCGUUCCUAUCUCAGUUGGCACGACCGCUUCAUGUCCAAAAGCCAAGGCGAACGGUGUCUCCCCAGUUGCUGUUUUGUGGGUUGUUCUGUAUGCCCAUAGCACACCUGACAGCUCAUCAACCCAUGCACCCUUUUUUGCUCCCAGCCUGGUUUUCAAAAGCCUCUUGAUGGUCUUGUUGGCUGCUUCUACUUGUCCAUUCGAUUGGGGGUGAGCAGGCGAGCAAUACUUCAGCUCUAUUCCGAGGUUCUGGCAGAAAUCCCUGAAGCUGUGAUUAUCGAAUUGUCUGCCAUUAUCCGUUACCAGGGCAUAAGGGAUCCCGUAUCGACAGACCAGGUUUCUCCACACAAAGUCUGUUGUUUUCUUCUCUGUGAUCUUGCUAAGGGCUUCUACCUCUAUCCAUUUCGUGAAGUAGUCUAUAGCAACUAUUGCAUGUGUUGCUGCUCCUCGUCCCUUUGGCAGCGGGCCGAUCAGAUCAAUUCCCCAUUGAGCAAAUGGCCAAGGGGAGGCCAUAGAGGUGAGCUUUUCUGGUGGUUGGUUGGAGAAACUUGCAAAACUCUGGCAACUUACACAGCUCCUGGUCUUCUCCUGUGCAUCCUGGUGCAUUGUCGGCCAGAAAUAUCCCUGCCUUAGAACCUUGUGGGCCAGGGACCUCCCACCAGAAUGAUUCCCGCAAAUUCCUUCAUGUACUUCUCUCAGUACGUAAUCUGCGUCGUCCUCAUCCAAACAUCGGAGGAAAGGUAGUAUAUAUCCUCGCCGAUACAGUACCCCAUCAAUCAUCGUGUAUCUUGAGGCCUGGGCUCUAACCUUCCGAGCUCGCAGCUUAUCUGGUGGUAAUACCCCGUCUCUGAGGUAUGAAAUUAUCGGGUCCAUGCACGAGCAUUUUUGUUCUAUCCGCAACACCCCCAAAUUCUGCUCGAUACUUGGGCUGGACUUCACCUCCAGAGGGACCGACUUUGGCAUUUUUGGGUCGGCUACUGCUGCCAUCCUGGCCAAAGUGUCUGCUCGACUAUUCUGCUCCCUGGGGAUCUGUAUCACCUCCACUGCUUCAAAUUUCCCCAUCAUCUGCCUGACUAUCUUCAGGUACUGCUCCAUCUUCUUCUCUCUUGGUUGGAAUCUUUCGCUGACAUGAUUCGCAACCAGCUGGGAAUAAGUUCUGAUCUUCACUCUGUCUGCUUUCACGGCCUUAGCCAAUUCCAAACCUGCUAUCAAGGCUUCAUACUCUGCCUGGUUAUUUGUGGCUCCAAAUUCCAACUUCACAACAUAAGAGAUCUCCUCCCCCUCCGGGCCUUCCAAGACAAUCCCUGCUCCAGAACCCUGCUCCCCUGAUGACCCAUCCACAUACAUCUGCCAUACUUGAGCUUCGCCACUGUCUGUGACUACAUCUGGUCCAUCUAAACAUACUUCGGGCUCUGUGAAUUCAGCUACGAAAUCGGCCAUUGCCUGAGCCUUUAUCGCUGCUCGGGGUUUGUAGUCUAUGUCGAACUCGCUCAGCUCUAUAGCCCACUUGACGAGCCGACCAGAAGCAUCUGGCUUGUGCACAGUUUGACGCAAUGACUGGUUUGUUAUUACCGAGACCGGGAAUGCUUGGAAAUAUGGCCUCAACUUCCGAGCCGCAACCACAAGGGCAAGUGCCCAUUUCUCCAACGGUGGGUAUCUGGUCUCAGCGUCGAGCAGGGCCUUGCUUGUGUAGUAUAUCGGAUACUGAACUCCUUCUUCCUCUCUCACCAGAACAGAACUGGCGGCCCGAUCCGAUACCGCCAAAUACAGAUAUAACUUGUCCCCAUCCCUCGGUGUGGACAGUAGUGGAGCUUGCUGCAAGUAUUGCUUCAAGUUCUGGAAGGCUUCCUCGCAUUCUGGUGUCCAUUCUGUUUUCUUUCCCCUCCUUAUCACUUAAAAGAAUGGCUGACACUUGUCUGUAACCUUGGAUAUGAAUCUGCUCAACGCAGCCAACCUCCCCGUGAGGCUCUGCAUCUCCUUCAGGUUACGAGGAGACCUCAUCUGCACAAUUGCCUGGAUUUUCUCCGGAUUUGCUUCAAUCCCCCUAUGGCUCACCAUGAAUCCAAGGAAUUUCCCUGACUCGACCCCAAAAGCACACUUCUCCGGGUUGAGCUUCAUCUUAUACUUCCUCAAAAGCCCGAAUGUCUCCUCGAGGUGCCUGACAUGUUCCUUCGAGAUUUUGGAUUUGGUGAUCAUGUCGUCCACGUACACCUCCAUGGUUUUCCCAAUCAACGGCUUAAAGACUUUGUUCACCAGCCUCUGAUAGGUGGCCCCAGCAUUUUUUAGACCAAAUGGUAUUACCCUGUAACAGAACAAACCCUGGUUAGUGAUGAAAGCCGUGCUCUCCUCAUCCUGCUCGUACAUGGGGAUUUGGUUGUAUCCCGAGAACGCGUCCAUGAAACUAAGCAGACCGUGUCCAGCCGUUGAAUCUACUAGUUGAUCGAUCUUUGGUAAAGGGAAGCUGUCUUUUGGGCACGCCUUAUUAAGGUCUGUGAAAUCCACACACAUCCUCCACUUGCCAUUUGCCUUCUUUACCAACACCACAUUCGAUAUCCAUUCAGGGUAAUUGACUUCCCGAAUGAACCCUGCUCUCAAGAGCUUCUCCACCUCGACAUUUAUAGCCUCAUACCUCUCCUGAUUGAAGCACCUCCUCUUCUGCCUUACUGCCCGAGCACCUUUCUUUAUUGCCAGCUUAUGACAUGCUACCUCAGGGUCAAUCCCUGGCAUAUCUUCAUGUGUCCAAGCAAACACAUCUGCAUGAGCCUGUAAGCAUUUCACUAACUCCUGCUUUUGCUCUCCCUUAAGUCUCGACCCGAUUCUGAUUGUUUUUCCCGGAUUCUCUGGUCCCAGGCUUACUGUUUCCAGAUCCUCUACAGGUUCUUGUCUGCCAUUCUUGUUUUCCACUCGGGUAUCGAGGGAUGUUAUCUGCAUUGCUUCCCUUGCUGCUGAGGAGUAGCAGCUUCUUGCGAUCCUCUGAUCUCCUCGUACCACUCCAACUACCCCAUUCACCCGGUACUUCAGAGCCAGAUAAUGGUUGGACAGCAUCGCUUUGCUCAUCCUCAGAAAUGGCCGACCUAGGAUCAUCUGGUAAGGACCUUCCUCAUCCACUACCAUAAAGUCCAGUAUCAUUGUCCUUUCUGUCGGGGAGCUCCCAAUCGUGAUAGGCAGCUCGACCAUGCCCAGAGGGACCAGCCUUCCUCCUCCAAACCCCUUCAAGGAGGUAUUGGUGUAAUCCAACUUCAGGUCUGCUAUUCUCAUCUCCUUCAGGGUUGACUUAAACAACACAUCAACUGAACUCCCUGUGUCAACCAGUAUCCUGUCAAACUUCUUGCUAGCAACAGUGGCCUUGAUGACCAAAGCAUCCUCGUGGGGGUAUAUGAUCCCUUCUUCAUCCUCAUCUGUCCACAUGAUUGGCACUUGCCUGACUCUUGCACGUUUGGCUGCUGGGGUGUUGAAGAAUACCUUUUUGCUGGUCAUGGCGUAUCUAGCAUAAUUUUUCCUCGAUCUGUUAGAAUCUCCGGCCAAUGUUGGGCCCUCAGCUAUAACCCUUACUGCAGGCUGCUCGCGCCUCAAGUUCCUGUCACUCUGCUCCCCUUCACUUGUUGAGGCUACCAUUGGGAAGGUCCCAUCUACGAACUCGUCCAGAUACCGAUUUCUCACUAAAUCUUCAACCUGGGUCUUAAGAUCUCUGCAAUCUGCUGUGGUGUGGCCAUGAGUGCCAUGGAACUUACAAUAGCGUCCCCUAUCCCUCAUGCUGGGUAGCUUGGUUAUUGGAGCAGGGAGGUAUAGCAACCCCCGAUCCUUUAUGGCCUCGUACACCUCGUCCAGGGACAUCUUCAAGGAAGUGUACCGCCCAUAGUCCUAGUUCUGGUCGAUCAGGUGUACUGCUCUUUCUCUGUUUGCUCCGUUCUGGGUUGGGGGCGGUGGCAGUACUUCUGGUCUGCUCCCUCUGCUACCGUGGGAGUGUUGAUGAGCACCAUAUGAUGAAUCAUGCCUUCUCCAAGGCUCCCUAGCUGUGGAACGAGGAGGCUGCGCCCUGCUGCGCUGAUACUGUGGUGGGCUCUGAUGAGGCUGGUAAGCAAUUACCCGACCUCCUGCUCCAUUACCCGAGGCCUGGUGGUCCCUCCUCCUGAUCGGCCCAUUCCCCGGUAAUGCUUUCUUCUCUUUCCUCCCCAACCCUUCUAACUGGUCUAUCUUAAUUCGUGCUGCCUUCUCCUCUUCAAUCUCAAUGUCUCUCUUAGCCUGCUCGUAUGCGGCCGCAUACGUCUGGAUAGCUGGGCUUCUCAAAUUGUACCACAGCCUUCCUAUCUUCACCCUUUCUUUCAAUCCCCUUAACGCCUGAGGGUGGUUGAAGGCUCCCAAGUCGAGGACAGCCCGAUGAAACCUCUUGAUGAAUUCCCGAAGGGUUUCUUGCUCCCCCUGUUUCAUGCUUUUCAGCUCCAUCAUGUCAUCUUCUGGGGCCAUUGCCCCACUAAACUGCUCUGCGAAUUCCUGGCACAUCUGCUCGAAGGUUUUAAUGCUGCCCCGAGGAAGUUUCCUGUACCACUCGCGUGCACGUCCCUCCAGGGAUAGUGGAAACACCCUGCACCUUUGGGGCUGAGAUAAUCCUUGUACCCCCGUUAUGUCAUUGAAGCGUUCUAUGUGCACCAGCGGAUCAGUUCGUCCCGAAUAUCUAAGGUCCGGGAGACGGAAAUCCCUCGGAAUAAUUGCCCUCAUGAUCUCUGCUGCGAGCAGUGAUUCUCCGUCCAGCAUUAUCCUCCAACCAGGAGCUCUGCUCCUUCCUUGCAUAUCGUCAAUUAUCUGCGCUAGUCUGCGCACUUCCUCCUCCAGCUGUACUGCACGACCAGGGUCACGUGCUGCAACUUGAUCCCUCUCUUGCUCUACAUCAUGCAAGUGUUGCCUCAACUCUGUUUCUUCUGCAUUCGCCACCCCGUCGUCCUCGUAAAAAAUCUGUCUUGCCGGGGAUUGCUCUUCUUCUCUAUGAAAUUCUCCCCGUAGAGGUAUGUUACCUCUCUCACCACUAAAUCUCCCGGUGGUUUGACUUCUCCUCGUACCAUCGGGACCUGGUGUCACUCCACCACCUCUCACCAUUUCCUCCUGGGUUACCCUUCGUUCACUCCGCAACUCAUGCAGGAUGGUUGUCAGGGUCUCCAUCUGCUUUUCCAUCCGUUCCAUCCGGUCGAACAUGGCUUUUUCCCGUGCUUCGCUGGCUAUCUCCCUCAGCGUUACAGAAUCGUUAAGCCUCAUAUCACCCCCUUGUGCACUACUUCCUCCUGCCUCCAUUGCUUUUCACUUGCUUCACUCCUCUUCUUGCUAUCAACAGAAGCUUUUUGCUCAGCUCCCCACAGACGGCGCCAAAAUGUUGAUGCGAGAUUCUGGUUACACUCUUCCGGCUACCAGGACAUCUGCUCAAUCAACCUCACCUCGACCAGGAUCUCUCCUCGUAUGCUUUCUUCUCCAAGUACUCCUGCGUUCACAGAAACAAGUCAGAGCACGCCGGUUGUUUUCCCGGCGUAAACCCUCCGACGCUCAAGUCAGAUAUGAAGGCUUUGGGAACGCUUGCCACAGAUCUUAUGGCUUUGGAAAUAGUUUUCUCUUCUUUUCAAUUUCCUUAAUCUCUAUUCUAAUCUCGAAAUUGCUAACCCUUUUACCUUCGCUGGCUACCUUUUUAUAGGCCACUUCUGAGCCCAAGCCUUUUUCCCUUUGCGCUCGUCAUCCUCCCACUUCUCGAAAGUGGAUGCUCCAUUUCUGUAGUCGUGGGUGGUUGCGUGGCCCUCGUGCCUAGAUUCUCAGACUGGAAAGCAUGCCACGCCAACUGUCGUUGACCGGGUCUUCUCGAAUCAACCCUUAGCAGGAAUACAGCAGGAAUGGCUUCAGGCUUCUUACAGGAGAUUGGCCUCGCGGAUGACGUGCUCGUGGACGAGCAGGGUAUUCCUGCUCCUGCUCCUGCUCCCCCGGAUGCCAGGCUCUUACGGGACCCAUCGGCUCGCAGAACUCUACCAUCAGAUAUCUGCUCAUCAUGCCUGGUCUCGUCGACGUAUUUCUCCCAAACACUUACCACAUAUAUGUCACCUUUCAAUCAAUUGUUGAAAAAUUCAAAUUUGGAAUUCAAAUACAUGCAUUCAAAUUUGGAACACUUUGAACGGUCCGAUUCAAAACUUCAUAUUCCAAUUAUAUUCAUAAGACAAAUGGAACACUUUGAACGGCUUGUGUCCGAGCAUUGUAGUUUGAUUUAUUUUGAUGACAUUACCUUUUGACAUUGAGAUUCUUUCAGGAUUUAAACAUUCUUUUUAAAACCAAAUUAUUAAAAAAAAAUAACUAACAUAUAUUAUUUUAUUAGUGCUUUUUAAAUCAAAUAUACAUAGGAGAACUGUAAUUCUUAGCAAUCAAUUUUCCACUAAAUACACCUGCAACAAACUAUUAAUAACAAAGUGAUAGAAAAUACCUGAUUUUUCAUACUUUCUAAUUUCUUUUGGUCCUAAAAUAUGGGCAUUUGUGUAAUAAUAAGCCCAUGUGGAUCUCUAUGCCAUGAGUUUGAUAAAUAGCUAUCAAGGAUCACUUAUUAAGCUAAAAAUAUUUGGAGGACAAAAUUGUAAAACUAAAAGGGUGGAGCAAAUAUGGCUAUCUAGGAUUAAAUAGUAAGUCAACUAUAUUUAAAGGAUAAAAUAUUAAAACUUGAAUUGUGAUAUUAAAAAUAUCUCAACUAUUAUAUUAUUAAACCAUAUGUUCUAAUAGUUUUUUUUUUAAGCUUCAAAAUGUUCAGGAUUUUAGAUUGAAACAUUUUCAAUUGAAAUAAUUUGGUGCAGUCACAAGUUAAGAAAGAAAAAGUUGUCCCAUUGGUCAUUUCACAAAAAUGAAAGCCCUGUAUAACAUGGACGUGAAUGGAAACCCAAUUGUUUGUGUUUGAUUAAUUGAUUUCAAGCUUUAUCUAACCUUUGGACCUGGAUACUUUACUGCGGCCUCUAAGCGCUAUAAAUUUUUUUGGGGAUAAACGGCGCUUCAAUGAGGGCAUCUCCAAUGCUUAACACCAUUUUGGUGUAACACCAACAUUAAAAAUAUACAUUUUUCACACUAAAUUACUAUUUCAUCUCCAACCCAUUUACACCAAAUUUUACACCAAAAAUAAUAUUUUUUUUAUUCUUUUAAUUCUCAAGAAUUAAUUCAAUUAACACAAUAAAUACUACUAUUAACAUAGAUAAUUAAGUAAUAAGUAAUUUUAUCAAUUAACAAAAAAAAUAGAAAAUUAUUAAAUUUGCAUUUAAUUAACUAAAUUAGUACAUUAUGAAAAUUAAACAUUACAUUAAUAUAGAAAAAUACAAUAAAAAUAAUAAUAAUUUUAUAUCUAAUAUUUUGAUGAUAUUGGAGGAUCUAAUAAUGAUCUUCCAGAUUAUUAAAUAAUUGUUCUAAUUUAUACUAGUAGUAGUAGCUUUUUUAAUUUGUGUUAAUUUAAUUUUGUAAUAUGUAAUAUAGUAAUUAAUGUUAUUGGCAUUUUAUUUUUAUUAUUAAUUUUUGUGUUGAAUUUUUUUAUUUAAAAUAUUAGUAUAAUAUUAAAAAAUUAAAAAUGAAAUAAAUAAUAACAAAAAUAAUAAUAAUAACUUAAAAUAUUAUAUAAAAAAGGACAUAUAUGUAAAUAAGAAAAAGUAAUAAAGAUAUUUAGGACUCUUUUUUCCUAGCACCAAAUGAAUAGUGUUACACCAUAUUUGGUGCAAUACUAUUCAUAACACCAAUUUGCUGUUCGUUUUGAUGUUACAUUGGAGAAGCAUUUUACACAAAAAAUGGUGUAAAAGGUAGUUUGGUGUUAGUUUUGGUGUCACAUUGGAGAUGGCCUGGAAAAACACUUGAAAACUUUGGAUUUUUGGUUCGUCCAGUUACGGUGUUAUGCUAAUGGGGUUAAAAGUUCCGAUCCAAUGAGUUAGGAUGGAAUAUGAAUAUAUAAAUUCCAUAGCAUGUAAGGACUAGGAUUUGUUUGUUCAUAUCAAGAAAAAAAAGAUCCGAAAAUUUGAUGAUCAGAAGAUGAAGACACGUUUAUUACAGAGAAACAAACGACAACAUGAUACUAGUAGUAGUUAUUCUUUUCAUCCGAUAUAUUACAUGGUAAUAUCACUACUCGUUCCACUGGUUUCAUAUACACCAUCGAUCAGCAACAUGAUAAUUUUGUGUCAGUUCAUUUUGUUUGUAGGAAAGAGCAGUGUAUUUCUUAGAGCUUGAAAAUAAUAAAAAGAUUUUAAAAUAUAAAUUGCAUAUUUGUUUAUUACAGUUGUUUGGUCUAAUUUCUUAUGUAGAAUUGCUUGUCAUUCUUUGGACGUUAUUGAUUAUAUUUUUGUCAGACUUGGCGUAUAUAUUCACACAUACGUUUUAUUUUGUCAUUUUGUAGAACAUUUUUACACGCCAUAUUAUCACGACUCUUCUCUGUCUGAAUAAGAAGAAAGCAUAAUGCGACCCUCCAAUAGCUUAAUCUAUGGAAUUAUCGUGUUUUGUAAGUUGAGGUCCAAUGGCGUUUUGGCACAUCAUAUGAUAGCCCACUAUAUUGCGUUGCUUUACAAAAGAUUAAUAUUUUGAAAAUUAUUAGGUAAGUUUAGGCUCAGUGGCACUUUAACUCAUGAUAUGAUUGUCCAGGUUUUCGAGGACCACUAUAUUCUAUUGAUUUAAAAAAAAUUAAUAUUUUUUAAUAUUAAUAUUCUAAAUUAUAUUCAGUUCAAAUAUUAAAUAUUAAAUACAUUCUUAAUAUUAAUAUUCUUAGAUGAAAUUCUUUUGCUGACUUAAGAAUAAAAUAUUAAAUAAUUUUAUUUUUCUUUUAUUCUGUAACGUGGACCCAAUAAAAAAAGGAAAUGAAUUUAAUAAAACCUUCAUUCAAAAUCUUCAUUCCGCCACCAUGCAUGUUAAUUGUUUCCAAAUUCCAACCUCCGUACUCUCUUGAGGAGUUUCCCAUUCAUCAAUUAUUAUUUUUUAUAAUCCAUACCAUCCUGAUAUAAUUAAACACCAUUAAUAAUGUACCAACCUUUAAAUAGUAAUUAAUUUAUUUAUCUAAUUCACCAAAUGUUUUUUCCGGUACAUAUCUCCAUUGGUAUCAAGAAGAAGCAGAACCCAAAGAAAUGUUUCUUGCAUCUUCAUAUUUGUGCGAAUUCAUCCUUUCAUUGAGAAUAACCAUUUCCAGGCAGCAGUUGGCAAUCAAUUCAUGCGCACGUCGAUGCUAUUCAUAGAUACUAAAGACAAUGAUGAACCAAAGGUGAUAAAUCAUAAAUGCAUAAUUACCAAACCUCCAUCCUUCUCUCAUUAUGAUUUGAUUUUAAAUGAAUUAUUGCUUGGUAACAUUAUUUCCAACCAUUGCAAGACCUUUUUUUUGGAGAAAUUUCAAUUGAAAGUGAAACCUUUAGACAUUUACCUAAUGAAGUUAGUUAAUCGGGAGGGUCGGAAAAAAAAAGUUGACGCAAGUCAAUACACAAUAAUCAAUUAAAUCCGGAGUGACUAAAACAGAGCCACUACUUUUUAAAAAAUAUCUGCAUUAAUCACUUUCUCCAGCAACUAGUCAGCUACACACGAAUCAAUUUCUCUCCUCGUUUGUCAUCCAAAAUUAUUCACCAAUACCAUGGCUGAUGCAAUCGUUUCCACUAUCUUGGAGCAGCUGAUUUCCUUCGCUGCUGAAGAGAUAAAACAACAGGUGAUCGAAGUUUCACCCCUCAUAUUACAAAUACUUCCAAUGAUUUUAAUUGGCUUUGUUUUUAUCAAAAACAUUAUAUAUUUUUGCUUUUUUUUUAUUUAUCUGAUAAUUUUAUAUUUUGAAAUUUGAAUUGAAUUUAAUUAAAAGGUGAUGUAGUAACCACUCAUUUUUAUUUUAUUUCAUUUCUAUUCUCGAUAACUAACCAUAUUUUGGUAACUUAAUAUGACUCUCGUACAUAAGAAAUGAUCAAAACCCACAAUUUUAACUAUGUAUAAAUAUUCAACGUUGAGCUAAGGUUUUGCAGAACAUUCAAGUUUAUCAAAUAGUCAUUAAUUUAAUGUUUUAGUAAAACCUCAACUCAUCACUGAAUCCCAUAGCUAUUACUUAGACUCUAUGAAAAAUUUCAUAGUUUUCUUACAUUCUUUCAGUUUGGUAAGUGAUUUCAUAUAAUUUCUGUUCAAUAUAAAUUUUAAUUUGGUUUCUUAUAUACUCUCUUUGCUGAAUUUGUAUCUUUUAUGAUUCUUAGAUUUUGGGCUCUAACAUUUUAGGAUUUGAUAGUCACAUUUUAUGCCAUGCUUAGAUUGAUUUUCAUGAUUUUUACUACCCAUUAAGUGACUUAGAAUUUGACAAAAGUUUGAAAGGAAAUCUGCUUCAGGAUUCUGUUUUAAUUGACCUUUUAGUGGAAAUAGGAUGCUUAUAACUUAAUGUGGAUGGUUCGUAAAAUCAUGAAAUUUGGAUAGAAUUAACUAGAAAUAUGUACAAGACUCUCCAUGAAGUCUCAUAAUUUUUCAUUCGGUCUGGGGUGGUACAGGUGAAACUUGUGGUUGGUGUUGAAAAAGAAGUGAAAAGCCUUACCAGCCAUCUUCAAGCCAUUCAAGUUGUGCUCGAUGAUGCAGAGGAAAAGCAAGUGAAGGAAAAAGCUGUUAGUCUUUGGCUGGGUAGGCUCAAGUAUGCAUCCUACGACAUUGAAGAUGUGUUGGAUGAGUGGAUCACAACAAGACGCAAAUUGCAAAUUGAGGGUGGCAUUGGUGAAAAUGCUCUUGUUGUUCCUCAUAAGAAAAAGAAGGUAUGUCUCUGCUUUCCCGGCUCUUGUUUUGGAUUCAAACAAGAAGAAUUUGGUUUCAAACAAGUCUUUCUCCGUCAUGACAUUGCCGACAAGAUCAAAGAAAUCAAUGAAGAGCUACAUGAUAUUGCCGCUCAAAAAGACAUGUUUGAUCUUGUUAAGAGUGGCAAUAAAAGUAGUGAAAGACCAAGGCGUGUACAGAGUACCUUCUUGAUUGAUGAGGAAGAGAUUUGUGGCAGAGUUGGUGAGAGGAAUGAACUCUUAAGCAAGCUGUUGUGUGAGAGUAGCGAGCAACAAAAAGGCCUUCAUAUCAUCUCAAUCGUUGGUAUGGGAGGCAUAGGGAAAACAACUCUUGCACAACUAGCUUGUAAUCAUGACGAGGUGAAGAGAAAGUUCGACAAAAUUCUGUGGGUGUGUGUAUCAGAAACUUUUGAGGAGUUUAGGGUUGCCAAAGCGAUCGUUGAAGUUUUGGAUGGUCGUGAAUCUCAUUUAGCUGAAUUCCAUUCUCUUCUUCAACAUAUUUAUGAAUCCAUUGCAGGGAAGAGCUUUCUUCUUGUCUUAGAUGACGUGUGGGAUGGAAAUUACUUGAAAUGGGAACCAUUCUACCGUUGUCUAAAGAAUGGUCUCCAUGGAAGUAAAAUUUUAGUUACCACACGUAAAGGGUCAGUCGCAUCCAUGAUGGGAUCCAUAGAUAUUAUCUCCGUUAAGGAGUUAGCUGAAGAGGAAUGUUGGUUGUUGUUUAACAAGAUAGCAUUUUUUGAUCGGUCCAUCGAGGAACGUGAAAAAUUAGAACAAAUUGGGCAAAGAAUUGCAGGCAAGUGCAAAGGUUUACCUCUUGCAGCAAAGACAAUAGGGAGUCUCAUGCGUUCUAAACAAACUGAAGAAGAGUGGAAAAGAAUUUUAAAUAGUGAUUUAUGGAAAGUAGAAGAGAUUGAGAAAGAUGUUUUGUCCUCUUUAUUGUUGAGUUAUAAUGAUUUGCCAUCUAGAGUAAAAAGAUGUUUUUCAUAUUGUGCUGUCUUUCCAAAAGACUACAAUAUAGAAAAAGACAAACUAAUCACGUUAUGGAUGGCUCAAGGUUAUCUUAGUGCAGAAGAAGAUGAAGAGAUGGAGACAGUAGGUGAAGAGUAUUUUGGCAUCUUAGCUUCUCGCUCAUUUUUUCAAGAGUUUAAGAAAAGUUAUGAUAAUCGGAUUAUAGAGUGUAAGAUGCAUGAUAUGGUACAUGAUUUUGCCCGAUUUGUAAGUCAAAAUGAAUGUUUUUCGAUGGCAAUCAAUGGUAGUGAAGAACCAAACGCCACAAACUCUCUUGAUGAGAAGGUCCGUCAUUUAAUGUUAAUCUUUAGUAUAGAGGCUUCAUUACCUGUUUCCACUUGUAGAGUUAAAAGAAUUCGUAGCCUCUUAAUUAACGAUAGUAGAUCUGAUCAUUCAUUAUUAAAUGGUGAGAUCCUAGAAGAAUUAUUUAGGGAAUUGACAAGUUUAAGGGCAUUAGAUUUUUGCAAAUCGUAUAACGCAAGUUGGUCUUCGACUCUGGAGAUUCCGAGAAACAUAGAAAAGCUGGUACAUUUAAGAUACCUUAAUUUGUCUUAUCAGGGAAUAAAGAAACUACCGGAGACAUUAUGCGAGUUGUAUAAUCUAGAAAAGUUAGAUAUUAGUUAUUGUUAUAAGCUAGAAGAAUUACCUGAAGGGAUUGGGAAGUUAAUAAACAUGAAGCAUUUACGAAAUAGAGGUACUAGUUCUUUAAGGUACAUGCCAGUAGGGAUUGGGAGAUUAACGGGUCUUAGGACCUUGGGUGAGUUCCACGUGAGUGCAGGAGGAGGUGUUGAUGGUAGGAAAGCAUGUAGGCUUGAAUCUCUUAAAAACUUGGAACACCUUCAAGUAUGUGGUAUAUGUAGACUGGGUGAUGUAUCAGAUGUGGGCGAGGCUAAGCGAUUAGAACUUGACAAAAAGAAAUACCUCUUCAGUUUGACCCUCGAGUUUGAUAAGACGGAAAGAGGAGGAGAAAGGAGGAAGAACGAGGACGAUCAACUUCUUCUUGAAGCCUUGCGACCACCCCUGGAUUUAAAGGAAUUAGAGAUACGGUACUACCGAGGCAACACUGUUUUCCCCAGCUGGAUGGCGUCAUUAACCAACUUAAAGAGUUUACAUCUCCAUAGGUGCGAAAAUUGCGAGCAGCUGCCUCCUUUGGGAAAAUUGCCGUCCCUUGAAAAUCUCUACAUAUGGCGCAUGGAGAGUGUGAAGAGAGUGGGUGAUGAAUUUUUGGGGAUAGAAAGUGAUCAUCAUGACUCAUCGUCAUCUUCAUCAGUUACUAUUGCCUUCCCCAAAUUGAAAUCACUCACAAUUUAUUCGAUGCUGGAAUUGGAGGAGUGGGAUUAUGAGAUUACAAGAACAGGAAACACCGUCAUCAACAUCAUGCCACGUCUUUCUUCCUUGACAAUUGUUGAUUGCACCACAUUAAAGGCACUGCCCGACCACAUUCAUCAAACGACAACGUUGAAGGAAUUGAGCAUUUUUAUGUGUUGGCUUCUGAACAAACGUUACCGCAAGGGGAAAGGAGAAGACUGGCCUAAAAUAUCACACAUUCCCAACCUCCGUAUUGGGCUUUGACAAGUAAUUUCUUCUCUCACUCUGAUUUGCUUUGUUGUUGUUUUUAAUCUAAUUAAGAAGCGAAAAUAGCAUUUUGAAUCAAACUCUAUAUCAGAAAUCUGCAAUACUUACUUUCUAAUAUUCUGAUUUUCAUAUCCUAUGAAUAUACGAUUUUUAAUUUGUGAGAUGGGUAACGUUACUGUAAAAGAUUAUUAAUGCAAUAUGAGUAAUUCUUUUGCAGGACAAGUGACCUACAUUUAGUUUGGCUUUGGAGUUGAAUAAUAACCUUUCGUGGUCCCGACAACCAAAAAACAAAGCUUAAUUUGCCACAGAUUGAACGUAUUGCCAUUAUUGACAAUUUUCUGCACAAGCGUGACUGAACUUAGGUUGAUGUCAAAAGAGGUAAAUUAUUGGCAUGCCUGACUAUUUUGACCAUUACAUGAUUCAUAAGUUUACAUUAAUUUUGAUUUUGAGUUGAGUGAUUAGUUUUCUAGGUUUGCUUACUUUAACUGGGUGACCAAUUUCUUGUAACUAAAUGUAUGAUGUGAUGCAGGAAGCAGGGCAGGAUAUGAAAAGAGAAGCUUAUUAGAGGAAGGAUUGCCAGUAACAGAAUCCAAAGAAAAAGAAACCAUUUCGAGGCAGCUGUUGGCAGUUGGCAGUGAAUGGAGCCCCUUGAAAAAAUUCCCAGGCCGUUGCACUGCAAUUACGAUCAUCCUCGGCCUCAGGUAAUUUCUUCUCCUGCAUUUUUGUUAUUUGCUAUCAAGUGACUAUUUUAAGUAUGAUUGCAUUAAGCUUCUGCUGGGAAAUUUGAGGUUUUGAUGACUGCCCAUGCUAUUGUCAGAAGCUGCGGUUCUUUUCAUCAGCCUGAACCUGGACCUGCCGCUAUGGAUAACUCAGGUUUUUUUUUUUUUUUUAAUCAACUGCCAUCUUUUCCACUGUUUAGAAACUCUUAAGAUUAAACUUUAGUAAAGUUGUUUUAGUUAUCCAUGUAAUCAGGCUGAGGAUACUUAGCUGCCUAUUUAGGCAAAUGUCAGAAUUUAGUUUGUUCGCUGGGAACUGGUGUGGACUGGCAAAGGAUGAUGAGAUAGUUUUUUGAGUGAGUAAAUUUUGGGAGCUUGAGUGUAUUGGGAUUUGCAAUUACAAUCAUCGUCUGCCUCAGGUGAUUUCUUCUCCUGCUCUGUCAUUGUUUGUUCUCUAAUUCAAAAGCAUAAAAUAUUUCAAUCAAUUUUUAUGCCAGGAAUAUGCAAAAGUUUCUAAUAUUUUAUUUCCAUCUGUUACAAGAUCAAACUGAAGCAGAACUCAAACAAAAGUAUGCUACUUCUUGCGGAAAUCUUGCCUUUGUUCAGAUUAUGAAACCAUUUCCAUGCAGCAAAUUCAUCCAAAAGUUUGAAUAAGUUUCAUGGUUGGACACUGUUGGCUUCUUUUUCUUCUGGGGUGCAUUUAGGUGCUAUCAAGUGACAGCUGUAAGUAUGAUUGCACUAAGCUGCCGCUGGGAAAUUUGAGGUUUUGAUGGCUGCCCAUGUUAUUUUCAAGAAACUAUUGAUGUAAGAAGCUGUGGUUCUUUUCAUCAGCUUGAACCUGAAACUGUCGCUAUGGAUAACUCAGGUUUUUGUUAUCAACUAUAUCAUCUUUUUCACUAUUUUGAAACUCUUAAGAUUAAACUUUAGUAAAGUUGUUUCAGCUAUUCAAAUGAAAAACUCAUUGAUUUGAGACUUCCUUCAUUAUUGUUUCUAAUUACAAUGCUAACGAUCCAGAUAAAAUAAUAUUUAAUCGGCGAAGGUGUCCCUUGGAAGUACAUCCUUCUUUUUCUUUUAUUAUAUAAAUUCUUGCAAUGAGCUUAGUGAAGCUGUUGUGCUAAUCAUGCCACUGCAUAAUUUGGCCCCUAAUGUGGGUACUCUGUUACAUUGUUCUGCAAAUUCUCCAGAAGUUAAAAUCAAUAAAUUUUCUAUUAGCUCUAGUGCUUUGACCUAAAUGCCAUUCUAUAUUUUGAUUACAAUGUUUUAACCUUUAAAUUAACUACCCCUAGAUGUUGGAUUUUCUAGAACUUCAAAAUGAUUAAUGGAGAAAGAUCCCAUUAUCGUUAUUGCUAUAAGAAAUUGAUUUAUGCAUCCAAAGAUACAUUAUAUAUUUCUGUGUCUCUAUUUGUAGAUGACAUUUAAGCAUCCAUAAACCGUCAGACAGAGGAAGGGGGUUCAGUGCAAAGAUUCUGUUGACCUAGGGUUGACUGCAUAAUGUCACUUGUUCGCAAUCUAUUAUUUAUUUUAUAUUUUGAAGAAUUUAAUGGGUAAUCCUAAUUGUUUGUUUUGGCAGGUAUGUGUUGUUAUCUCCUUCUAUCUAACAGUCGUACCUAAAUAGCAUAGUUUCAUCUGUGUUACCAUGUGAUGUACAUAAUUUCACAUUUGCCUCAGAUUAAGCUUAAUUUCCCACAGAAUAGAGCUGUCGCGACUGGACUUAGGUUGAUGUCCAAAGAGGUAAAUUAUUGGCAUGCCUAGAUAAUUUGGCCAUUUCCUAAUUCAUAAGUCUACAUUAAUUUUGAUUUUGAGUUGACUGAUUUCUUUUCAAGGUCUGCUUCCUUAACGGAGUGACCAAUGUUUUUCAACUAAAUUUAUCAUAUGAUGCAGGAAGCAGGGCAGGAUAUGAAAUGAGAAGCUCAUUGGUGGAAGUAUUGCCAGUAACAGAACCCAAAGAAAAUGAAACUAUUUCAAGGCAGCAGUUGGCAGUUGCAAGUGAAUGGAGGCCCUGACAAAAUUCUCAAGCGGUUGCAAUGCAAUUACGAUCAUCCUCAGCCUCAGGUAAUUUCUUCUCCUGCUCUGUUUUUAUUUGUUAUCUAAUUAAAAAGCAUAAAGUAUCUUGAAUCACUUUCUGUAUCUGGAACAUAUGCAGCAGUUUCUAAAAUCUUCAUAUGAGUGUAAUGAUGGUAAUUUCUGUUUUUUGUCUGUCAUUGAAUGUUAGACAACUUUCAGUGAGACUCUUGAACCGAGACAUUUUUGACAAAUGAAGGACAAUUGCUGAAGAGUGGGAAUGGUGCUAGAUUGGGGAAUAAAGACAAAGGAGGUAAAUUAUUUGCAGUUUAUUCAGCAUUAUUUGCUUUGGACCAGCGCCUGAUUCACAAGUCUCCAUAAUUUGGCUUUUGACCAGUUGUUAAUAAAUUUUUUAUUCCAUUGGUGCUAAAUGUACACGUGAAGCAGGCAGAGCAGGACUGUGGAAAUGAGAAGGUUUUUAGUGAAAGCUUAAACUCAGGUAAUUCUAAAAAGUACAUGUUUUUGCUGAUUUAUCUAAAUCAGGAAAUUUUAUUUCCAUCUGUUACAAGAUAAAACAGAAACAGAACACAAAGAAAAAUAUUCUACUUCUUGUGGCAAUCUUGCCUUCAUUCAGACAAUGAAACCAUUUCCUUUCACCAAUUUCUUCCAAAAGUUUGAAUAAGUUUCAUGGUUGGACAUAGUUAGCUUCUUUUUCUUUUGGUGCAUUUAGGUCCUAUCAAGUGACAGCCAUAAGUAUGAUUGCAUUAUUGGGAAAUUUUAGGUUUUGAUGGCUCCCCACGUUAUUGCCAAGAAAGUCCUCAUGUCAAAAGCUGCGGUUCUUUUCAUCAGCCUGAACCCGAACCUGUCGUUAUGGAUAACUCAGGUUUUUGUCAUCAACUAUAUCAUCUUUUUUACUGUUUUGAAACUCUUAAGAUUAAACUUCAGUAAAGUUGUUUCAGUUAUCCAUGUAAUCAGGCCAAGGAUAUUUAGCAGCUUAUUUAGGCAACUGCCAGAAUUCAGUUUGUUUGCUCGAAACUUGUAUGGUGACAAGGAUACUGGCAAGGAUAGUGAGAUAGUUUUUUGUGUGAGUGAAAUUUGAAAGCUUGGGUGUUCUGGGAUUUGCAAUUGCAAUCAUCCUCUGAGUCAGGUGAUUUCUUCUCCUGCUCUGUCUUGAUUUUCUCUCUAAUUGAAAGCAUAAAGUAUUUCAAUCAAAUUCUGUACCAGGAGUACAUAAAAGUUACUAAUAUUUUAUUUCCAUCUGUUUGCAUUGAUAACUCGGCAUAUGUUCUAGUUAAAGAACAAACAGAAACAGAGUUCAGGAAAAAGUUUCUUCGGCCACCAUAUUUGAAAAUGAAACCAUUUCCAGGAAGCAGUUGGCAGCAAAUUCAUAUGGAGUGUAGACAAUGAUGAGCAAAAAGGUGAUUCGCAAUUUCUUUUUUUUUUAAGUGAAAUUAUUUGUUAGAUUGAAGCUGAUAUUGUAAGAAGGCCAUUGAGCUAACCUAUGUCGUCACUUGCCUAGAUUGCAGGGGGUCAAGACUCAAAAGAAGCACUGAAAUUUAAAAAGCAUGGAAUAGUUCUUUUGCCAUGUGUCAAUUAAUGCAAGUUUGAAUAAGUUUAUUGGCUGAACGAUGUUAGCUUCUUUUCCUUUCGUGCACUUUGGUAUGCUAUCAAGUGACAGCCGUAUGUAUGGCUUGCAUAUAGCUGCUGCUGGGAAAAUUGACGAUUUCAUGGCUGGCCGUGUUAUUGUCUUAAAUUAGUUGUGAUAAGCUGUUGCUUGGAGAUUCUGUUGCCAAGACUUUGCUCACAUCAGAAGCUGUGGAAUCUGAACCCUUCGUUAUGUAUCAUCUUUUUCAUUGUUUUAAAACUCUCAGGAUUAAACUUGAGCGAAUUUGUUCGGUUGUCUAUAUAAUCAUGUAUUGAGUAAACUCUCAGGAUACUGAGGGUGAGAGAAAUUAGAGGGUGUAUAGGGAUUUGGAUUUGUUAGGAAGUUAUCAUUUUUAUUUUUAUUUUUAUUUUUUUCCCAGAAAAUCUUCUGGUGGUGCUAUAUUUUCAAACGACAGUCCGAUUCAAAACUUGAUAUUCCAAUUAUAUUCAUAAGCUUCUACAGUUAUCUUCAAAAAGACAAAUGGAAGGCUUUGAACGGCUUGGGUCUGAGUAUUGUAGUUUGAUUUAUUUUGAUGAAAGUACCUUUUGACAUUGAGAUUCUUUCAUGAGUUAAACAUUCUUUUUAAAACCAACUUAUUAAAAAAAAAAAGUAACUAACAUAUAUUAUUUUGUUAGUGCUUUUUAAAUCAAAUAUAAAAAAGAGAACUGUAAUUCUUAGCAACCAAUUUUUCACUGAGUACACCUACAACAAACUAUUAAAAAAUAAAGUGAUAGAAAAUGCCUGAUUUUUCGUACUUUCUAAUUACUUUUGGUCCUAAAAUAUGGCAAUUUGUGUAAUAAUAAGCCCAUGUAUAUCUUUAUGCCAUUAGUUUGAUAAAUAGCUAUCAAGGAUAACUUAUUAAGCUAAAAAUAUUUGAAGGAUAAAUUGAUUUAUGCAUCCAAAGAUACAUUAUAUAUUUCUGUGUCUCUAUUUAUAGAUGACAUUUAAGCAUCCAUAAACCGUCAGACAGAGGAAGGGGGUUCAGUGCAAAGAUUCUGUUGACCUAGGGUUGACUGCAUAAUGUCACUUGUUCGCAAUCUAUUAUUUAUUUUAUAUUUUGAAGAAUUUAAUGGGUAAUCCUAAUUGUUUGUUUUGGCAGGUAUGUGUUGUUAUCUCCUUCUAUCUAACAGUCGUACCUAAAUAGCAUAGUUUCAUCUGUGUUACCAUGUGAUGUACAUAAUUUCACAUUUGCCUCAGAUUAAGCUUAAUUUCCCACAGAAUAGAGCUGUCGUGACUGGACUUAGGUUGAUGUCCAAAGAGGUAAAUUAUUGGCAUGCCUAGAUAAUUUGGCCAUUUCCUAAUUCAUAAGUCUACAUUAAUUUUGAUUUUGAGUUGACUGAUUUCUUUUCAAGGUCUGCUUCCUUAACGGAGUGACCAAUGUUUUUCAACUAAAUUUAUCAUAUGAUGCAGGAAGCAGGGCAGGAUAUGAAAUGAGAUCUCAUUGGUGGAAGUAUUGCCAGUAGCAGAACCCAAUGAAAAUGAAACUAUUUCAAGGCAGCAGUUGGCAGUUGCAAGUGAAUGGAGGCCCUUGACAAAAUUCUCAAGCGGUUGCAAUGAUGGUAAUUUCUUCUCCUGCUUUGUAUUUAUUUGUUAUCUAAUUAGGAAGCGUGAAGUAUCUUGAAUCAUUUUCUGUAUCUGGAAUAUAUGCAAGAGUUUCUAAAAUUUUGAUAUGAGUGUAAUGAUGGUAAUUUCUGUUUUCUGUCUGUCAUCAAAUGUUAGAAAACUUUCAUUGAGACCCUUGAACCGAGUCAUUUUUGACAAGUGAAGGACAAUUGCUGAAGAGUGGGAAUGGUGCUAGAUUGGGGAAUAAAGACAAAGGAGGUAAAUUAUUUGCAGUUUAUUCAGCAUUAUUUGCUUUGGACCACCGCCUGAUUCACAAGUCUCCAUAAUUUGGCUUUUGACCAGUUAAUAAAUUUUUAAUUCCAUUGGUGCUAAAUGUACACGUGAAGCAGGCAGAGCAGGACUGUGGAAAUGAGAAGGUUUUUAGUGAAAGCUUAAACUCAGGUAAUUCUAAAAAGUACAUGUUUUUGCUGAUUUAUCUAAAUCAGGAAAUUUUAUUUCCAUCUGUUACAAGAUAAAACAGAAACAGAACACAAAGAAAAAUAUUCUACUUCUUGUGGCAAUCUUGCCUUCAUUCAGACAAUGAAACCAUUUCCUUUCACCAAUUUCUUCCAAAAGUUUGAAUAAGUUUCAUGGUUGGACAUAGUUAGCUUCUUUUUCUUUUUGGUGCAUUUAGGUCCUAUCAAGUGACAGCCAUAAGUAUGAUUGCAUUAUUGGGAAAUUUUAGGUUUGGAUGGCUCCCCAUGUUAUUGCCAAGAAAGUCCUCAUGUCAGAAGCUGCGGUUCUUUUCAUCAGCCUGAACCCGAACCUGUCGUUAUGGAUAACUCAGGUUUUUGUCAUCAACUAUAUCAUCUUUUUUACUGUUUUGAAACUCUUAAGAUUAAACUUCAGUAAAGUUGUUUCAGUUAUCCAUGUAAUCAGGCUAAGGAUAUUUAGCAGCUUAUUUAGGCAACUGCCAGAAUUCAGUUUGUUUGCUCGAAACUUGUAUGGUGACAAGGAUACUGGCAAGGAUAGUGAGAUAGUUUUUUGUGUGAGUGAAAUUUGAAAGCUUGGGUGUUCUGGGAUUUGCAAUUGCAAUCAUCCUCUGAGUCAGGUGAUUUCUUCUCCUGCUCUGUCUUGAUUUUCUCUCUAAUUGAAAGCAUAAAGUAUUUCAAUCAAAUUCUGUACCAGGAAUACGUAAAAGUUACUAAUAUUUUAUUUCCAUCUGUUUGCAUUGAUAACUCGGCGGCAUAUGUUCUAGUUAAAGAACAAACAGAAACAGAGUUCAGGAAAAAGUUUCUUCGGCCACCAUAUUUGAAAAUGAAACCAUUUCCAGGAAGCAGUUGGCAGCAAAUUCAUAUGGAGUGUAGACAAUGAUGAGCGAAAAGGUGAUACGCAAUUUCUUUUUUUUUUUUUUUAAGUGAAAUUAUUUGUUAGAUUGAAGCUGAUAUUGUAAGAAGGCCAUUGAGCUAACCUAUGUCGCCACUUGCCUAGAUUGCAGGGGGUCAAGACUCAAAAGAAGCACUGAAAUUUAAAAAAGCAUGCAAUAGUUCUUUUGCCAUGUGUCAAUUAAUGCAAGUUUGAAUAAGUUUAUUGGCUGAACGAUGUUAGCUUCUUUUCCUUUCGUGCACUUUGGUAUGCUAUCAAGUGACAGCCGUAUGUAUGGCUUGCGUAUAGCUGCUGCUGGGAAAAUUGACGAUUUCAUGGCUGGCCGUGUUAUUGUCUUAAAUUAGUUGUGAUAAGCUGUUGCUUGGAGAUUCUGUUGCCAAGACUUUGCUCACAUCAGAAGCUGUGGAAUCUGAACCCUUCGUUAUGUAUCAUCUUUUUCAUUGUUUUAAAACUCUCAGGAUUAAACUUGAGCGAAUUUGUUCGGUUGUCUAUAUAAUCAUGUAUUGAGUAACCUCUCAGGAUACUGAGCAGGCAAAUGUUAUAACUCGGUUUGUUAGCCAAAAACUUGUUGAAGAUUCUUGACAAAGCUGCAUCAAGUGAAUUGUCGGAGCUCUGAGGGUGAGAGAAAUUAGAGGGUGUAUAGGGAUUUGGAUUUGUUAGGAAGUUAUCAUUUUUAUUUUUAUUUUUAUUUUUUUCACAGAAAAUCUUCUGGUGGUGCUAUAUUUUCAAACGACAGUCCGAUUCAAAACUUGAUAUUCCAAUUAUAUUCAUAAGCUUCUACAGUUAUCUUCAAAAAGACAAAUGGAAGGCUUUGAACGGCUUGGGUCUGAGUAUUGUAGUUUGAUUUAUUUUGAUGAAAGUACCUUUUGACAUUGAGAUUCUUUCAUGAGUUAAACAUUCUUUUUAAAACCAACUUAUUAAAAAAAAAAAGUAACUAACAUAUAUUAUUUUGUUAGUGCUUUUUAAAUCAAAUAUAAAAAAGAGAACUGUAAUUCUUAGCAACCAAUUUUUCACUGAGUACACCUACAACAAACUAUUAAAAAAUAAAGUGAUAGAAAAUGCCUGAUUUUUCGUACUUUCUAAUUACUUUUGGUCCUAAAAUAUGGCGAUUUGUGUAAUAAUAAGCCCAUGUAUAUCUUUAUGCCAUUAGUUUGAUAAAUAGCUAUCAAGGAUAACUUAUUAAGCUAAAAAUAUUUGAAGGAUAAAAUGGUAAAACUAAAAGGGUGGAGUAAUAUAGUUAUUUAAGAUUACAUAGUAAGUCAACUAUAUUCGAGGGAUAAAAUAUUAAAACUUGAAUAGUGAUAUUAAAAAUAUCUCAGCUAUUAUACUAUUAAACCAUAUGCCGUAAUAAUAUUUUUUUUCAAACUUUAAAAAAUUCAGGAUUUUAAAUUAAAACAUGGAUUUCUUUAAGAUGCUAUAUGUGUUUUUACAGUAUUGAUAGUGGGAUUAGUGUGGACCUUUAGAUGAAAGAGUUUUAAUCUGAAUCAUUCAUUUAAUAUAAUAGAUAAUUAAAUAAUUAAUUAAAAUAUAUCAGGUAACUUAUAGGUUGCAGGUAAAAAAUUAAUUUUUUAAUUUUAAAUUAAAAUUAAUUUGGAACAAAACCAUCCACACCCCUAAGGUUUACUUAAAUGAUCAUAUAAAUCCCUUUAGUUUCUACAUAGUUAUACAAACCCUCUUAAUUUCAUAAAUUAUUAUUAUACUUUUAAUUAAAACAACCUAAAUGAAUAUAAAUAUAGUAAUAGGAUAGAAAUAAUAAAUAAAUAUCAGAUGAAACAAAUAAAAUAUUACAAUAAAUACAAUUAAUUAAAUAACAUGUAGGAUGAAAAUUUUAUUCAUAUUAAGUUAUUAUUAGUCGAUCUCGAUGGAUUUACUCAAAUUAAUUAAUCCAAAAUUUAAUUUUAAGAUUGAUAUUAAUAUGGACAUAAUUAAAUAAGAUGUUGUAAUAUAUAUUACUUUGAAUGUUAAGUAUAAUUAUCUAAUAUUAUUAGUAUGUGAAAUAGAUUUUAAUAUUAUUAAAAGAAUAUGACAAUAUAUAAUUUUGACAUAAAUUUUUUAGUAUUCAUAAUAUUUUAUAAAUUUUAUCUUAUUUUAUAUAUUAUAUUUUUUAAUUUUAAUGUAUUAUAUAUGAUCAUUUAAGCAAAUUUUGGAGGUGCGGUGGUCUUUUCCCUAUUAAUUUUGUAGCAUAUUUAAAGUGUUAUAUCAUACAUCAUACAUCGCACUUUUGUUAAAGUAUUAUGUUAUUAAAAAUUAAACUUUGCAUUUAUAAUAUACUACCAUUUUAAUGUAAAUGUAACAAAAAAUAUGAAGAUAUUUUUAAGUAGUCAAUUGUAGCUUUCUAUUACAAAAUAGCAGUAUAGAAAUACAAUUGGUAAAAUGUAAUAAAAAUGGUAUGGAAAAAAGUUAGUAGAGGCAAUUAUUUUUGUAGUUGCUAAAACAUAUGAAGUGACACACACACACACACACACACACAUCAAGUACUUGUAUGUUCCCCUAACUUUUAUUAAUAGGAAGGAAAUUAAAUUCGUAAUUUUCCCGGUGAAUUAUGAAUUGAUAAAUGAAAUAUAAAUAUUAGUAAAAAUUAAUUUGUCGACUAAAGAAGUAAACCAUAUUUUAUGGGCAUUUAAUACAUUACUUUAAGGUCAAAUGAGAUAUAUCACAUGAUAUUUGAUACAGUAGUCCAAUUUUCAACAUUUGCAUAUAGUUUCUAAGCUAGUAAUCUAAUAAAAUAUACCAAAUGAGAAAUUCAAGGCUAUUAUUUAUAUUUCACAAUUGGACAAACACCAUACAUUAGAAUAAAAAAAUCUCACAGUACAGACGACAUCUGUUUGCAUGUUUUGAAAAUAGAUUUUGAAAAUAGUUUAAUUACAUGAUAAUUAAAUUAUAUUAUAAAACUAAGAAUAUGAUUUAAGUACUAUUUUAGCAAUUUUGAGUCUCACAUUGAGUAUUCAAGUUAAUUAAAUGUUGAAACUCUUUUCUAUUUGGCUUGAAAUCACUACUUAAUUAAAUUACAAAAAGUCGAUAAUGAAUGAUGUAGGACACAUAUGUAAAAUAAAUUUUAAAGUGUAAUUAAACAUUCCUAUCAAUAUUAGUUUCGUAUACAUGUUCAUAUAUUUUAUUGAAACCAUAUAUAAUUAAAUUUUGUGUAAUUAAGUAAAAUAUAUUAUUCAAGUGAAUUUAUGAGAAUAUUUAAAAUUAUAGGGGUGGUCACUGAAAUUUGCCAAACUUGAGCCAACCGUGCAUGAUCCAAACAAUUUAUUUUAAUAAUUCUCAAUAUGUUAGUCUGUUUGACUGUUGGCAAAAUAAAUUCCUAUCAGCAAUGCAACACAAUUCAAAAUCAUAUCUGCAUACAACGAACAAUAUCUCAUCAAAGAUCAAAUUAUACAUUUUUUACACCAAAGCAUAAAUAUCUAAAUUAUCCCUCUUCAACUCACCAAGCUCAUACCUAACAACAGCAAGAUUAAAUGUCAUUUGAUCCAUCUUUUUUAGUAAGCUUUAUCAAUUCUUCUCAUGGUUGCAAUUUUGAAAGCUCGCUUCGCUAUUUCCAUUUGCUUUUAUGCUUUGUUUGAGCUCCAUCUUUUCUCUCCAUCUACAUUUUACACUGUAAAAAAAAUUUUAAAAAAAUUACAAAGCUUCUUAUACUAGAAUAUGAGCAACAAUAUAAAUAAUAAACAAUAAAGUUAUGAUAGCACAACAUACUCAUUAAAGUGCUUCUUUUUUUUUUUCAACAAGAAAUUACUACUGAAUUAAAGAAUUGGCUUUGCAUUAAGGUUUGCCUUCAAUAACUCAACUCCCCACUUGGGUUUUGUCGUUUUCUUAAAAUCUCUGCUCAAUCAAUUUAAAGAUCCAUUUUUUUUUUCUUUCCAAAGAUCUAAAAGCAAUGUCUUUUAUUGGUACCCAACAAAAAUGCAAGGUCUGUGAGAAGACAGUUUGUCCAGUUGAGCAGUUAUCUGCUGAUGGGGUUGUUUAUCACAAGUCUUGCUUCAAGUGCUAUCACGGCAAAGGCACACUCAAGCUAAGCAAUUACUCAUCCCUGGAAGGUGUUCUUUACUGUAAGCCUCACUUUGAGCAGCUUUUGAAGGAGUCGAGUAACUUCAACCAGAAUUUCCAAUUACCUGCAAAGUCAGCUGAGAAGUUAACUCCUGAGCUGAGAAGGUCGCCUAGCAAAGUUGCCAGCAUGUUCUCUGGGCCCAAUAAAAAUGUGCUUCUUGCAGUAAAACAGUGUGUCCGUGGGAGAAGGUAGCAGUGGAAAACCAAGCCUCUCACAAGACAUGUUUCAAGUGCUCACAUGGUGGUUAUUCCAUUAGCCCGUCAAAUUACGCAGCCCUAGAAGGCAUCUUGUAUUGCAAACAUAAUUUCUCCCAAUUGUUCAAGGAAAAAGGCAGCUACAACCACCUUAUAUCAAAUCUGCUCCCAUGAAGCGUGCUGCAGUCUCUGUUCAAGAAGCUUGAACACGUUAUGUUAUCUUCCAUAAAUCUUAUUUGGCGUGGGUUUUCUCUGGCUUGAGGGUGUGCUUUCUAUUUUGAUCCCUCUUGUUGUUUUUGCGGGGAACUACCAAACCUUCGGUUCCCUCUGCUUCUUUGGAUCAUCUUUGUUUGGACAAAUUUCAUGUAAUUAGAGAUACCGAUUUAUGGGAGGCAUAAUCCCAUGGUCGUAAAUUGACCAUUUUCUGGCAAUGUUCUUUUUAAAAAGAGAUGAGCAGUUGUUUAAAAAAAAAAAAAAUUGCUUGCCUUCAUCAUUGUAUAUUACCAAACUGCUAUGUAUAGCUGCUAACUAUGAGCAUCCGAAAAUAUGGUGCAUCGUGAUUCAUGUAGUGCAAUAUGGCUACCAACGCAUCCUAAAUGGAGUAUUACUCAGUUAGUCAGCAAAAUAAGACAACAUAACUGAUAUUAAAAAAAAAAAAAAACUACAUUAAUAAGUGGGCAAGAUCAUGCCAGUUUAACUUUUCGCGCGUCGCUGCUGGAGAUGAUCAAAUCGGGGCAUAGAAAAGGAGAAUGGAAUCAGAGGCUAAGAUUAAUAAGUGGGCUUCUGCUUGCUUUGCCCUCUUUCUUAAACGAUUGGUAGACUGCUGCUUCCGCCGAUUAACCGGGUCUUCAACCACUGCUUUUACUGCCUGCCAUCUUGUUGUUUGUCGAAGGGAUGAAUUCGAGUCGAAAAGAGAAAGCGCGCUGAAAAAGAUAAAUCACUAGUGGUUAACUGCUGACUCAGCCAAGUGUUGGCUUCACUUGAUUCACCGAUUGAGGUUAUUUUGUCUUCUAUCUAAUGCAGCGAAGAAGCUUUGCUGCUUAACAUGCUGCAAUGCAACUUUAUCCUUUGAAGUUCACACUCCAGGGCUGCGCACUUUAUGUAAUCCUAUGAGUAAAAAGAAUUUGUUUUCAAAUGUGAAAAAAGAAAAUGUAAGGUAGUAACUAAAUAUAUUAUAGCAUCAAAGCAAGAUUUGAUAUGAAUUUAGUACAACAAAGAACAUCAAAUCUGUGAUUCCUUGUCUAAUGUCACCAUCGAGCAACAAAUUUAAAAGCCUACCUAUCAAAUACACGAGGCAAUAAACGGAGAAAAAGUUGAAUUACAAGAACAAGUUUACAAUUCUUGUCAAUGGUUAAUGAUUUGUGAACUGAGAUAUCAUUCAAGAAUCCAAUUUCAAUACAACAACCUAAAAGAUAAACAGAUGAUGAAUUUUAUGAGAUAAAAAAGGAGAUCGUGUUUUAUCGUAUCUCUAUUUUCUUUCUUUUUAAAUUUAUGAGAUAAAGCGGUUGGUCCAGUUACGGUGUUAUGCUAACGGGUUUAAAGGUUCCGAUCCAAUGAGUUAGGGUGGAAUAUGAAUAUAUAAAUUCCAUAGCAUGUAAGGACUAGGAUUUGUUUGUUCAUAUCAAGAAAAAAAAUCUGAAAAUUUGAUGAUCAGAAGAUAAAAACACUUAAACACGUUUAAGUAUCAAUAAAUACUUGCUGCUGUAGUUUGAAAAUAAAAUGAGUUUAUCUUGUUGCUGUUUGAUAAAAAUUUAUACUAUUUUUAUUAAUUUUGUCAAAAUCAAUAUUUAGACAUUAUAUUUACCAAGCAUUAUCAUUUUUUUAAUCUCAUAAUUAAUUAAAAUUUUCAUUUCAUUCAAUACAGUAAUUAAUUAGAAUUGUAGCAUAAGCCCAUUUUAAUUUUCUUUCUUUAGGCUAUAUACGCUACUUAUAAGAAAAACUUAUGGACCAUUGACCUAGGCUUAUACAAUAAGCCAAUUUAGAAAUUGUAGACUCACUCUAUGGAUUACUCAUGAGUUGUGGAUGAUGAGUUCUUCACUAACGAAGUGCAUUGGAUAUCAUAUAACGUAAAAACACACAUUGUCAUUAGUCUAUUGCAAGCAUUCCCAUUUGGCACCGAAUCUUUCUCAUUAGCCUAUUGCAAGCGAUCCCAGCCACUUGGAAUCAAAAUUUAGUGAAUUUACAUAUGUUGUCUCGAAGUGGUGUCUCUUAUGGUUGGGUGUUUUUAUAAAUUUCUUAAUUGCUUCGAAUACCAUGGCUGAUGCAACCGUUUCUACUAUCUUGGAGCAGCUGAUUUCCUUCGCUGCUGAAGAGAUAAAACAACAGGUGAUCGAAGUUGCACCCCUCAUAUUACAAAUGCUUCCAAUGAUUUUAAUUGGUUUUGUUUUUAUCAAAAACAUUAUAUAUUUUUUCUUUAUUUUAUUUAUCUGGUAAUUUUAGAUUUUGAAAUUUGAAUUGAAUUUAAUUAAAAGGUGAUGUAGUAACCACUUAUUUUUAUUUUUUUUUAUUUAUAUUCUCAAUAACUACUCAUAGUUUGGUAACUUACUAUAACUUCCAUAUCUAAGAAAUGAUCCAAACCCACAAUUUUAACUCAAGUUUGUCAAACAGUCAUUAAUUCAAUGUUUAGUAAAAAAAACACUUCUCAGCACAGAAUUCCAUGUCCAUUACUUAGACUCUAUGAAAAAUUUCAUAAUUUUCUUACAUUCUUUGAGUUUGGUAAGUGAUUUCAUAUAUUUUCUAUUCAAUAUAAAUUUUAAUUUGUUUUCUUAUAUACUCUCUUUGCUGAAUUUGUAUCUUUUAUGAUUCUUAGAUUUUGGGCUCUAACUUUUUAGGAUUUGAUAGUCACAUUUUAUGCCAUGCUUAGAUUGAUUUUCAUGAUUUUUACUACCCGUUAAGUGACUUAGAAUUUGACAAAAGUUUGAAAGGAAAUCUGCUUCAGGAUUCUGUUUUAAUUGACCCUUUAGUGGAAAUAAAAUGCUUAUAACUUAAUGUGGAUGCUAUGUAAAAUCAUGAAAUUUGGAUAGAAUUAACUAGAAAUAUGUACAAGACUCUCCAUGAAGUCUCAUAAUUUUUCAUUCGGUCUGGGGUGUUACAGGUGAAGCUUGUGGUUGGUGUCGAAAAAGAAGUGAAAAGCCUUACCAGCCACCUUCAAGCCAUUCAAGCUGUGCUCGAUGAUGCAGAGGAAAAGCAAGUGAAGGACAAAGCUGUUAGACAUUGGCUGGGUAGGCUCAAGUAUGCAUCCUACGACAUUGAAGAUGUGUUGGAUGAGUGGAUCACAGGAAGACGCAAAUUGCAAAUUGAGGGUGGCAUUGGUGAAAAUGCUCUUAUUGCUCCUCAUAAGAAAAAGAAGGUACGUUUCUGCUUUCGUGCCUCUUGUCUUGGAUUCAAAACAGAAGAAUUUGGCUUCAAACAAGUCUUUCUACGUCAUGACAUUGCCAACAAGAUCAAAGAAAUGAAUGAAGAGCUACAUGAUAUUGCUACUCAAAAAGACAUGUUUAAUCUUGUUAAGAGUGGCAAUAACAGUAGUGAAAGACCAAGGCGUGUACAGAGUACCUCCUUGAUUGAUGAGGAAGAGAUUUGUGGUAGAGUUGGUGAGAAGAAUGAACUCAUAAGCAAGCUGUUGUGUGAGAGUAGCGAGCAACAAAAAGGCCUCCAUAUCAUCUCAAUUGUUGGUAUGGGAGGCAUAGGGAAAACUACUCUUGCACAACUAGCUUGUAAUCAUGACGAGGUGAAGAGAAAGUUCGACAAAAUUCUGUGGGUGUGUGUAUCAGAAACUUUUGAGGAGUUUAGGGUUGCCAAAGCAAUCGUUGAAGCUUUGGAUGGUCGUGAAUCUCAUUUAGGUGAAUUCCAAUCUCUUCUUCAACAUAUUGAUGAAUCCAUUGCAGGGAAGACCUUUCUUCUUGUCUUAGAUGACGUGUGGGAUGGAAAUUACUUGAAAUGGGAACCAUUCUACCGUUGUCUAAAGAAUGGUCUCCAUGGAAGUAAAAUUAUAGUUACCACACGUAGUGGGUCCGUUGCAUCCAUGAUGGGAUCCAUAGAUAUUAUUCCCAUUAAGGAAUUAGCUGAAGAGGAAUGUUGGUUGUUGUUUAACAAGAUAGCAUUUUUUGGUAGGCCUAUUGAGGAACGUGAAAAAUUAGAACAAAUUGGGCAAAGAAUUGCAGGCAAGUGCAAAGGUUUACCUCUUGCAGCAAAGACAAUAGGGAGUCUCAUGCGUUCUAAACAAACUGAAGAAGAGUGGAAAAGAAUUUUAAAUAGUGAUUUAUGGAAAGUAGAAGAGAUUGAGAAAGAUGUUUUGUCCUCUUUAUUGUUGAGUUAUAAUGAUUUGCCAUCUAGAGUAAAAAGAUGUUUUUCAUAUUGUGCUGUCUUUCCAAAAGACUACAAUAUAAAAAAAGACGAACUAAUCACAUUAUGGAUGGCUCAAGGUUAUCUUAGUGCAGAAGCAGCAGAACAAGAUGAGGAGUUGGAGACUAUAGGUGAAGAGUAUUUUGGCAUCUUAGCUUCUCGCUCUUUCUUUCAAGAGUUUGAGAAAAGUUAUGAUAAUCGUAUUAUAGAGUGCAAGAUGCAUGAUAUGGUACAUGAUUUUGCCCGCUUUGUAAGUCAAAAUGAAUGUUUUUCGAUGGCAAUUAAUGGUAGUGAAGAACCAAACGCCACAAACGCUCUUGAUGAGAAGGUCCGUCAUUUAAUGUUAAUAUUUAGUAAAGCGGCUUCAUUACCUAUUUCCACUCUUAGAGUUAAAAGAAUGCGUACCCUCUUAAUUAACGAUCAUUCAUUAUUAAAUGCUGCGAUCCUAGAAGAAUUAUUUAGGGAAUUGACAAGUUUAAGGGCAUUAGAUUUUGGCGGAUCGUACCACUCAACGCGGUUGUUGACUCCGGAGGUUCCGAGAAACAUAGAAAAGCUGGUACUACCGGAGACAUUGUGUGAGUUAUAUAAUCUAGAAAAGUUAGAUAUUAGUGAUUGUUUUAAUCUUAAAGAAUUACCUGAAGGGAUUGGGAAGUUAAUAAACGUGAAGCAUUUACUAAAUAGAGGUACUAAUUCUUUAAGGUACAUGCCAGUAGGGAUUGGGAGAUUAACAGGUCUUAGGACCUUGGGUGAGUUCCACGUGAGUGCAGGAGGAGGUGUUGAUGGUAGGAAAGCAUGUAGGCUUGAAUCUCUUAAAAACUUGGAACACCUUCAAGUAUGUGGUAUAAGUAGACUGGGUGAUGUAUCAGAUGUGGGCGAGGCUAAGCGAUUAGAACUUGACAAAAAGAAAUACCUCUCCAGUUUGACCCUUUGGUUUGAUAAGGAGGAGGAAGAAGAAGGAGAAAGAAGGAAGAACGAGGACAAUCAACUUCUUCUUGAAGCCCUGCGACCACCUCUCAAUUUAAAGGAAUUAGAGAUUGAGUACUACCGAGGCAACACUGUUUUCCCCAGCUGGAUGACGUCAUUAACCAACUUGAAGAGUUUAGAUCUCUCUUCCUGCGAAAAUUGCGAGCAGCUGCCUCCUUUGGGAAAAUUGCAGUCCCUUGAAAAUCUCCACAUAUGGCGCAUGGAGAGUGUGAAGAGAGUGGGUGAUGAAUUUUUGGGGAUAGAAAGUGAUCAUCAUGGCUCAUCUUCAUCUUCAUCGGUUAUUAUUGCCUUCCCCAAAUUGAAAUCACUUUCAAUUGAGGUUCUGCGCGAAUUGGAGGAGUGGGAUUAUGGGAUUACAAGAACGGGAAACACCGUCAUCAACAUCAUGCCACGUCUUUCUUCAUUGACAAUUAAUUACUGCUCCAAAUUAAAGGCACUGCCCGACCACUUUCAUCAAACGACAACAUUGAAGGAAUUGCACAUUUGGAAGUGCAGGCUUCUGGAAGAACGUUAUUGCAAUGGGGAAGGAGAAGACUGGUCUAAGAUAUCACACAUUCCCAACCUCCAUAUUGGGCUUUGACAAGUAAUUUCUUCUCUUACUCUGAUUUGCUUUGUUGUUGUUUUUAAUCUAAUUAAGAAGCGUAAAUAGCAUUUUGAAUCAAACUCUAUAUCAGAAAUCUGCAAUACUUACUUUCUAAUAUUCUGAUUUUCAUAUCCUAUGAAUAUACGAUUUUUAAUUUGUGAGAUGGGUAACGUUACUGUAAAAGAUUAUUAAUGCAAUAUGAGUAAUUCUUUUGCAGGACAAGUGACCUACAUUUAGUUUGGCUUUGGAGUUGAAUAAUAACCUUUCGAGGUCCCGACAACCAAAAAACGAAGCUUAAUUUGCCACAGAUUGCACGUAUUGCCAUUAUUGACAAUUUUCUGCACAAGCGUGACUGAACUUAGGUUGAUGUCAAAAGAGGUAAAUUAUUGGCAUGCCUGACUAUUUUGACCAUUACAUGAUUCAUAAGUUUACAUUAAUUUUGAUUUUGAGUUGAGUGAUUAAUUUUCUAUGUUUGCUUACUUUAACUGGGUGACCAAUUUCUUGUAACUAAAUGUAUGAUGUGAUGCAGGAAGCAGGGCAGGAUAUGAAAAGAGAAGCUUAUUAGAGGAAGGAUUGCCAGUAACAGAAUCCAAAGAAAAAGAAACCAUUUCGAGGCAGCAGUUGGCAGUUGGCAGUGAAUGGAGCCCCUUGAAAAAGUUCCCAAGCCGUUGCACUGCAAUUACGAUCAUCCUCGGCCUCAGGUAAUUUCUUCUCCUGCAUUUUUGUUAUUUGCUAUCAAGUGACUAUUUUAAGUAUGAUUGCAUUAAGCUGCUACUGGGAAAUUUGAGGUUUUGAGGACUGCCCAUGCUAUUGUCAGAAGCUGCGGUUCUUUUCAUCAGCCUGAACCUGGACCUGCCGCUAUGGAUAACUCAGGUUUUUUUUUUUUUUAAUCAACUGCCAUCUUUUCCACUGUUUAGAAACUCUUAAGAUUAAACUUUAGUAAAGAUGUUUUAGUUAUCCAUGUAAUCAGGCUGAGGAUACUUAGCUGCCUAUUUAGGCAAAUGUCAGAAUUUAGUUUGUUCGCUGGGAACUGGUGUGGACUGGCAAAGGAUGAUGAGAUAGUUUUUUGAGUGAGUAAAUUUUGGGAGCUUGAGUGUAUUGGGAUUUGCAAUUACAAUCAUCCUCUGCCUCAGGUGAUUUCUUCUCCUGCUCUGUCAUUGUUUGUUCUCUAAUUCAAAAGCAUAAAAUAUUUCAAUCAAUUUUUAUACCAGGAAUAUGCAAAAGUUUCUAAUAUUUUAUUUCCAUCUGUUACAAGAUCAAACUGAAGCAGAACUCAAUCAAAAGUAUGCUGCUUCUUGCGGAAAUCUUGCCUUUGUUCAGAUUAUGAAACCAUUUCCAUGCAGCAAAUUCAUCCAAAAAUUUGAAUAAGUUUCACGGUUGGACACUGUUGGCUUCUUUUUCUUCCGGGGUGCAUUUAGGUGCUAUCAAGUGACAGCUGUAAGUAUGAUUGCACUAAGCUGCCGCUGGGAAAUUUGAGGUUUUGAUGGCUGCCCAUGUUAUUUUCAAUAAACUAUUGAUGUAAGAAGCUGUGGUUCUUUUCAUCAGCUUGAACCUGAAACUGUCGCUAUGGAUAACUCAGGUUUUUGUUAUCAACUAUAUCAUCUUUUUCACUAUUUUGAAACUCUUAAGAUUAAACUUUAGUAAAGUUGUUUCAGCUAUUCAAAUGAAAAACUCAUUGAUUUGAGACUUCCUUCAUUAUUGUUUCUAAUUACAAUGCUAACGAUCCAGAUAAAAUAAUAUUUAAUCAACGAAGGUGUUGAUUGAUUUGAGACUUCCUUCAUUAAUGUAGACUUCCUUCAUUAUUGUUUCUUUUUCUUUUAUUCUAUAAAAUCUUGCAAUGAGCUUAGUGAAGCUGUUGUGCUAAUCAUGCCACUGCAUAAUUUGGCCCCUAAUGUGAGUACUCUGUUACAUUGUUCUGCAAAUUCUCCAGAAGUUAAAAUCAAUAAAUUUUCUAUUAGCUCUAGUGCUUUGACCUAAAUGCUAUUCUAUAUUCUGAUUACAAUGUUUUAACCUUUAAAUUAACUACCCCUAGAUGUUGGAUUUUCUAGAACUUCAAAAUGAUUAAUGGAGAAAGAUCCCAUUAUCGUUAUUGCUAUAAGAAAUUGAUUUAUGCAUCCAAAGAUACAUUAUAUGUUUCUGUGUCUCUAUUUAUAGAUGACACCUAAGCAUCCCAUUAUCUAUUAUUUAUUUUAUAUUUUGAAGAAUUUAAUGGGUAAUCCUAAUUGUUUGUUUAGGCAGGUAUGUGUUGUUAUCUCCUUCUAUCUUACAGUCGUACCUAAAUAGCAUAGUUUCAUCUGUGUUACCAUGUGAUGUACAUAAUUUCACAUUUGCCUCAGAUUAAGCUUAAUUUCCCACAGAAUAGAGCUGCCGCGACUGGACUUAGGUUGAUGUCCAAAGAGGUAAAUUAUUGGCAUGCCUAGAUAAUUUGGCCAUUUCCUAAUUCAUAAGUCUACAUUAAUUUUGAUUUUGAGUUGACUGAUUUCUUUUCAAGGUCUGCUUCCUUAACAGAGUGACCAAUGUUUUUCAACUAAAUUUAUCAUAUGAUGCAGGAAGCAAGGCAGGAUAUGAAAUGAGAAGCUCAUUGGUGGAAGUAUUGCCAGUAAGAGAACCCAAAGAAAAUGAAUCUAUUUCAAGGCAGCAGUUGGCAGUUGCAAGUGAAUGGAGGCCCUUGACAAAAUUCUCAAGCGGUUGCAAUGCAAUUACGAUCAUCCUCAGCCUCAGGUAAUUUCUUCUCCUGCUCUGUUUUUAUUUGUUAUCUAAUUAAGAAGCAUAAAGUAUCUUGAAUCACUUUAUGUAUCUGGAAUAUAUGCAGCAGUUUCUAAAAUUUUGAUAUGAGUGUAAUGAUGGUAAUUUCUGUUUUUUGUCUGUCAUUGAAUGUUAGACAACUUUCAGUGAGACUCUUGAACCGAGACAUUUUGGACAAAUGAAGGACAAGUGCUGAAGAGUGGGAAUGGUGCUAGAUUGGGGAAUAAAGACAAAGGUGGUAAAUUAUUUGCAGUUUAUUCAGCAUUAUUUGCUUUCGACCAGCGCCUGAUUCACAAGUCUACAUAAUUUGGCUUUUGACCAGUUGUUAAUAAAUUUUUAAUUCCAUUGGUGCUAAAUGUACACGUGAAGCAGGCAGAGCAGGACUGUGGAAAUGAGAAGCUUUUUAGGGAAAGCUUAAACUCAGGUAAUUCUAAAAAUUAAUUCUGAUUGUUCCGAUUUAUCUAAAUCAGGAAAUUUUAUUUCCAUCUGUUACAAUAAAACAGAAACAGAACACAGAGAAAAAUAUUCUACUUCUUGUGGCAAUCUUGCCUUCAUUCAGACUAUGAAACCAUUUCCUUUCACCAAUUUCUUCCGAAAGUUUGAACACGUUUCAUGGUUGGACAUAGUUAGCUUCUUUUUCUUUUGGUGCAUUUAGGUGCUAUCAAGUGACAACCAUAAGUAUGAUUGCAUUAUUGGGAAAUUUUAGGUUUUGAUGGCUCCCCAUGUUAUUGCCAAGAAAUUUUAAGUCCUCAUGUCAGAAGCUGCGUUUCUUUUCAUCAGACUGAACCCGAACCUGUCACUAUGGAUAACUGAGGUUUUUGUCAUCAACUCUAUCAUGUUUUUCACUGUUUUGAAACUCUUAAGAUUAAACUUCAGUAAAGUUGUUUCAGUUACCCAUGUAAUCAGGCUAAGGAUAUUUAGCAGCUUAUUUAGGCAACUGCCAGAAUUCAGUUUGUUCGCUCGAAACUUGUAUGGUGACAAGGAUACUGGCAAGGAUAGUGAGAUAGUUUUUUGUGUGAGUGAAAUUUGAAAGCUUGGGUGUUCUGGGAUUUGCAAUUGCAAUCAUCCUCUGCUUUAGGUGAUUUCUUCUCCUGUUCUGUCUUUAUUUUCUCUCUAAUUGAAAGCAUAAAGUAUUUCAAUCAAAUUCUGUACCAGGAAUACGAAAAAUUUACUAAUAUUUUAUUUCCAUCUGUUUGCAUUGAUAACUUGGCCGCAUAUGUACUAGUUAAAGAACAAACAGAAGCAGAGUUCAGGAAAAAGUUUCUUCGGCCACCAUAUUUGAAAAUGAAACCAUUUCCAGGAAGCAGUUGGCAGCAAAUUCAUACAAAGUAUAGACAAUGAUGAGCAAAAAGGUGAUUUGCAAUUUCAUUUUUUUAAAAUGAAAUUAUUUGUUAAGUUGGAGCUGAUAUUGUUAGAAGGCCACUGAGCUAACCUAUGACACUGCUUGCCUAGAUUGCAGGAGGUCAAGACUCAAAAGAUGCACUGAAUUUUAAAAGGCAUGCAAUAAUUCUUAUGGCCAUUUGUCAAUGGUGGAAGGCUUUUAGCUUCUUUUCCUUUCGUGCAUUUUGGGGUUCUAUCAAGCGACAGCCGUAUGUAUGGAUGGAUAUAGCUGAAGGACAACAUUUGUCCAUGAGGUUCCUAAAAUCGCAACUUUUGUGCAGUAAAAUUAAAACGGACGGCGGAAGCUCUAGAAACCUCGGAUCGGCUUCAUUCAAAAACUAAAAUCAAGAGGAAAGAUUGAAGUUUAAUUACCUCACUUGCAGUUUCGAAAAAGACUUCUUGAGGUAGGAGAAAACGACUGAAAACAGCAAGCUACGAACACUGUCCAGAAAAUACAGCUCUGCACGAACAGCUUCUGUUUUGCCACGAUCUGAGAUCCUUAAGCACCCCAAUUGUGAUGCCUCUAAUUAUUCCACACUUAUAAAUGUUCUAGGAGUUCAGAGGAUUUUGAAUCACGAAAUUUCGUUUAGAAAUGAGAGAGAUAAUGAUGAAACAUGAAUGCUAGUUCAUGAUGAUUCCCCUUCCACCAAAUAAAGCACCAUUAUGUCUAAUAAUGGCACCAAACAUUAUCAUGUGCUAGACCCAUCCACUUAGCUAUAAUUUAUUGAAAGUGAUCUUAUCACUUAAAUAAAUUAUUUAAUCAAAUUAAUAAAUAGCUAAAUUAAUUAAUUUCGUAAUUAAUUAAUUAACCCCAUUUUGAUCAAAUCAAAUGGUUAAAUGUGGGCUCAUUUUGUGACAUGUUCUAAUGCUUUCUCUUAAUCCAUAUUAGAUCCAAUAAAAGCCCAAAAUUCUAAACCCAAAAAUGGUCUAGAAGUCCAUAAUCAUAUAUGAACCCGAACAUGUCCAAAAUGGUCAUUUUACGUGCUCGAUAUUACAUAAUGUUUAAUGGAGGAUUUACGAAAUUUAUUUUGUUCCUUAAACUAUUUAUGGAACAUCUAAAUUUCUAUCUUAAAUCAUAUUUAAGAUAUAUUUAUAUAUAUAUGUAUAUUCAUUCUCAAUGAAUUAUAAUAUAAAUAUUGAUUUUCCUAAAAAUAGGAAAUUUAACUUCUCAUUUUCUAGUAACUCCUUUUUCAUUUCUAUUUAAUGUGUGACCUUUUAGGUUCUUAGUUAUAAGGUAGUAGAACUAUUUUAAUGAUAACUCUUUAUUCAUUAAAUGAUGCUAAACUCUUUAGUCAUCAAUUAGAACUCUUCUAAUGACCUUAAGAUGCAUUGAUAAUACGCUUUACCAAUAUUGAUCUUAAGGUUUCUACAAGUCAUGAGUGACACCUAGCAGUAUAUCACAACUAUCCAAAUAACAAGAAUUGUUGGAUCUAUAGAACCUAUUCCAUUGUACCUCUAUGUCUUGGUCUCUUCAUCAUCCAUGUCCAAAGAAAAGCACGGCUUAUGGUUUAUUAUGUUAAGCACUUAUGCUUUAUCUCAAAACAAAUCUAAAUGAACUUGACAUGAAAAUAUAAUUUGAACUCCUUCAAAUAUAUUUCACCUUGGCCAAGGAUUUCUCAUGCCAAUUCAUAUUAUCUCAUAGGGACAUCCUUUUUGUAUAUUACAAAGUGAUGAAUUCCAUAUUGGCCAUGCACUAGUCUUCAUACAUAUCCAACCAUGACAGUUAUUGCUAGAUCUCUUCCGUGAUUAGGAAUCAAUCAUUAUGCAUUCACAUAUCAGAGAUGUCUAUGUAUAAGACAUCUGUUAUGCCUCAGGUCUAAAAACCAUUACUAAACAUAGUGUUUAAUACAAUGUAUAAUAAGCCAUUAACACUCAAGACCAUAUAGCUUACUAUAUUUGGUCAAGUUUAGUAAACUUGUUCUCUCAACAAGUAUCUAUGUGUUUGACUUGACAUCUCAUGUCAAUGAUAUGAAACUCACCAUCUAUUUUAGUAUCACAUACCAUAAGGAGUCAUAACACAUACUAGUGUUUAUAGAAAUUUAUAAUGUCCAAUCAUAAAUCCACCACUAGGAACUAUUUUAGAAGUAUAGUACAAAGGAUACACGUUUCAUAUUCUCGACAAACUCGAGAAUGUGUUCCUUAACUAUUUUACAUCUUGGACUAUAUUCAUUAAAUUAAUUAAUGAAUAUUGAUAACUUUGCCAUUUUAUAAAUAUCAAAAUGCUAUUCAAAUACGAUAAUUCCCUAAACAAACAAACACCAUUUGAUUGGCCUUUAGGGCAUAUUACUAACAAUCUCCCACUUGCACUAAAGCCAAUCGCUAUGGUAUCUCAUACCCAUCUUCUCAAGAUGACGAUCUAACUCUUGUUGAGUAAGUGCUUUAGUCAGAGGAUCCGCAGUGUUAUCAGCGGAGGCUACUUUCUGCAUAGUGAUAUCACUCCUUCCAAUGAUUUCUUUGAUAAUGUGAUAUCUUUUUUCUAUGUGUUUGGACUUCUAGUGAGACCUUGGUUCCUUAGCUUGUGCUAUAGCUCCAUUGUUGUCACAAUAUAAAGAGAUUGACAACGCAAUGGUUGGAACCACUUCAAGUUGUUGAAUAAACUUCCGUGUCCAAACAGCUUCUUUUGCUGCAUCUGAUGCAACUAUAUAUUUCGCUUCAGUGGUAGAAUCUGCAGUAAUUGUUUGCUUAGAACUUUUCCAGCUUACUGCUCCACCAUUGAUAGUGAAUAAAAUCCUGAUGUAGAUUUUCUAUCAUCUACAUCUGACUGGAAAUCUGAAUAUGUGAAGCCUUCAAUUUUUAGCUUACUUUCUCCAUAUGUUAAGAACAAAUCUUUAGUUCUUCUGAAGUACUUAAAGAUAUUCUUAACUGCGGUCCAAUAUUCCUCACCCGGAUUACUCUGGUAUCUGCUAGUGACACUCACUGCAUUGAGCUAUAUCCGGUCUAGUACAUAGCAUAGCAUACAUAAGACUUCCAAUUGCAGAAGCAUAUGGAAUCUUAUUCAUUCGCUCUAUCUCAUCAUAAGUUUUAGGACUCAUGCUUUUAGAGAGAUGAAUUCCAUGUCUGAAGGGUAUAAAACCCCUUUUGGAAUCCCACAUAUUAAAUUUCUUUAAUAUCUUUUCUAUGUACUUAGCUUGACAUAGACCUAUUAAUUUUCUGGAUCUAUCUCUAUAAAUCCUGAUUCCCAAGAUAUACAUUGCAUCUCCUAGGUCUUUCAUGGAGAAGUUUUGAGAAAGCCAAAUUUUGACAGAAGACAUUUGUCCAAUGUCAUUUCCUAUAAGUAAUAUGUCAUCUACAUAUAGCACAAGGAAAGAUAUUGCACUCCCACUAACCCUUUUGUAAACACAUGGUUCAUCCUCAUUCUUGAUGAAACCAAAUGAUUUGAUUGCAUCAUCAAAUCGGAUGUUCCAGCUCCUGGAGGCUUGUUUUAGCCCAUAAAUGGACUUUCUUAGCUUGCAUACUUUAUGAGGAUUUGUCUUAGAUUCAAAACCACAAGGUUGUAUCAUAUAGAUAUCUUCCUCAAUGUACCCAUUAAGAAAUGCAGUUUUGACAUCCAUUUGCCAAAUCUCAUAGUCAUAAUAUGCUGCUAUAGCCAAUAAGAUUCUGAUGGACUUUAGCAUGGCUACUGUUGAAAAGGUUUCCUCAUAGUCGAUACUUUGUAUUUGACGAUAACCUUUAGCUACCAACCUUGCUUUAUAGGUCUCUACCUUUCCAUCUAAGCCGAUCUUCCUCUUGAAGAUCCACUUGCAUCCAAUAGGUAUAAUACCUUCGGGUGGAUCCACUAGAGUCCAGACUUGAUUGGUUCUCAUAGAGUCCAUCUCUAAAUCCAUGGCUUCAAGCCAUUUCUUAGAGUCAAUAUCUGAUAUUGCCUCUUCGUAACUAGUAGGAUCAUCUCUAUGAUUUGUAUCACCCAAUAAAAAAUAUAUCGUUCAUCUGAUGAAGAAAACCAUAUCUUUCUGGUGGGUGAAUUAUUCUAUUAGAUCUACGGAGCUGCUGUGUUCCUUGUGUUUGUACUUGAACAAGUUCUUCAUUGGAUUUAUCCUCAUUAGAAUUCUCAAUAAAUUCUAUUUUUCUUCCUUGUCCACCUUCUUGAAUAAACUCUUUUUCAAGAAAUAUGACAUUUCUACUGACCAAUACCCUUUGAUCAGAUUGGAUGUAAAAGUAAUAACCCAAAGUUUCCUUUGGGUAUCCAAUGAACCUCCCACUAUCCGCUUUAGCUUCAAGUUUCUCACUCUUGAGUCUCUUGAUAAAAGCAGGACAUCCCCAAAUCCUAAGAUGAUUUAGGCUUGGUUGUUUACCAUACCACAUCUCAUACGGUAUUUUAGGUACAGACUUGGAAGGUACUCUGUUUAGUACAUAUGUUGCAGUAAGGAGAGCAUAUCCCAAAGAGAAAUUGGUAAGUCUAUAUAACUCACCAUUUAUCGCACCAUGUCUAACAGUGUGCGAUUUCUCCUCUCAGAUACUCCAUUAAGCUCUGGUGUACCUGGAGGUGUCCAUUGUGAAACAAUACCAUUUUCUUUAAGGUAAGACUGGAAUUCUCCACUGAGAUAUUCACCACCUCGAUCUGAUCGUAGGGUUUUAAUAACUUUUCCAGUCUGUUUCUCUACUUCAUUUCGGUAUUCUUUGAACUUUUCAAAGGCUUCAGAUUUAUAUUUCAUUAAGUAUACUGAACUAUACCUUGAGUGAUCGUCGAUAAAAGUUAUGAAGUAGUAAUAUCCACCCCUUGCCAUUUCAUUAAAUGGUCCACAUACAUCAGUAUGUAUAAGUUCAAGUAAAUCAGUGGCCCUUGUACUUCGUCCAACGAAGGGUGCCCUGGUCAUUUUUCCUUGAAGGCAUGAUUCACAAGUUGGAUAAGGUUCUAAACCAAAUGGACCUAUUAGUCCAUCUUUAGCCAAUUUUGUGACUCUAUCUUCUCCAAUAUGACCUAGCCUUAAAUGCCACUUAUAUUUGGGGCUUAUUUCUUCUCUUUCACGUUUAUGUGUUAUGGUAUUUACAUUCACAACAUGCUCAUUAUUUUCUUUCAUGUUUAGUACAUAUAGAUCAUUAUCUAAAGUACCAUGUGCAACAUAUUUAUUCUCAUGAUAAAUAUUACAAAUUUUAUUUCUGAAAUAAAAUUCAUAAUUGUCUUUGCAUAAACAUGAAAUUGAAACUAUGUUCCUUACAGCAGAAGGAACAAAUAAACAAUCAUUCAAACUUAUUACAUGCCCAGAUGUCAUUUUUAAGAAAAAUGUCCCUAUAGCUGAGGCAGCAACUAUUGCUCCAUUUCCCACUCUAAGAGACACUUCUCCUUGUUUAAGUCUUCUACUUCUUUUCAGAUCCUGCAUUGACAUACAAAUAUGUGCGGUCGCAGCAGAAUCUAAAAUCCAAGAAGUAGAAUGAAUGAUUGAAAUAUUAGUUUCAAUAAUGAGCAUACCUUCAGAAGGAUUCUCUUUAGGCUUGACUUUCAAGCUGUUGAGGUAAGAUUUGCAAUUCCUCUUCCAAUGCCCAUUCUUACCGCAAUGGAAACAUUUUCCCUUGUCAUUGGGCUUAUUAGCUUUCCCCUUCUUAAUCCCACCUUUAGCCUUGGGUUGAAACUUUUUCUUUUUACCCUUUUUAGUUGAGGGCCCUUCUAUAGCCAUAACAUCUUUUGGCUUCUUUAUGCAAGUUUCAGCAGUAUUAAGCAUCUUUAGCAGUUCAGCAAGACUGCACUCCAUUUUAUUCAUGUUAAAAUUCAUGAUAAAUUGAGAGCAUGAGUCUGGCAAGGACUGUAGGAUAAGGUCGAUAGCUAAUUCCCCAUCCAUUGAGAAAUUAAGAGCUUCCAGCUGCUCUAUGUAGUCAAUCAUUUUGAGUACAUGAUCAUUGACCGAUCCUUCAGUCAUUCUCAUUCUGAACAGUUUCUUAGAUAUCUCAUACCUAACUGUUCUGCUUUGUUCACCAUACAACUCUUGUAAAUGAAGUAUCAUGGAACUUGCAUCAGGCAUAUUUUCAUGUUGCCUUUGUAGUUCAUUGGACAUCGAUGCCAAUAUAUAGCUUUUAGCACUUAGGUCAUCAUCUUGCCACUUCUGAUAAGUGACACGAUCUGCCUCACUUGCUCCCUCAGGAAUUUCAUUUAGAUUAGAUGUAUCAAGAACAUAGCUAAUUCUCUCAUAAUUAAGAACAAUUCUUAAAUUUCUGAACAAAUCAACGUAAUUAGGUCCCGUCAAACGGUAGUUUUCCAGAAUUCGUGCUAACAGAUUAUUCAUUAUUAAGUAUUUCUGCAGAAAGUAUAAAUUAAAUUAUUAGCAUUUUAUUUUAUUAUAAUCUAUUUGAUUUUGGUCUUUAAACCAAAUAGUGCCUCCUGUUGAGUGUUAGAAAAUGCAUAUUUAUAAAGGAGAAAACCGUCAUUUUACAUUUCAAGUCUUAUUAACAACCCUUACUUUUAUGUAUUUAACAUUCUUGUGAUUUAAUUACAUGUGUUUAUUUUAAUUAAGUAAUUUAUGUAUUUUAGGGGCAUUAUAGUCAUUUCACAAUAAAAGAGAGAUCAGACGGCAAAACGGACAUCACUUUUGAACUCAGGACGGUCGAAAACCUUAGGAGGAGCAUAAAAGGAAAAAUGACACUAUUCACAUGUACGGUACUAUUCACGGGUACGGUAUUGUCUACGUUACUGUUCACGACAAUGUUCACAUAGACGGAUCAAUGACGUGGCAUUGAUUGAUGACGUGGCAUUGACUGAUGAGGUGUCACGAUCCUGUUGGACUAAAAUUCUUAUAUACUGUUGAUGGUGACGUGGCAGCAUAUUAGUGGACGAAAAAUCUCGCGUACGGUGCAUGCAUCACACAGGAUUAUUUUCAACCAAACCGCGUUACUGUUCAUCCGGGUCAAACCGUGUUACUGUUCAUCCGCGUGGUCAAACCGUGGACUCUUGACUGAUGACGUGGCGCAAUCUUGAGCGUCCAAACUGUUUUUAAUCCGAUGGCCAUGAUUUACUCCAUGUAUCUAUAAAAAGGGGGCCUCUCCCCCCUAAUUUGAUAUCUCUGAAUCCAUUUUUGGGAUCCAUUUUCUGUAAUUCCUUCUCCAUCUUGUAUUUUCUUCAUAUUUUAAUAAAUUUCCAUUUUGCCCCUAGUUCAAUUAUGAGUGGCUAAUUUUCUUUCAAGCUUGGGUUGAAGGUGAAGUCUCAACAUGUGUCAUGGGCUUUAUUUGGUAAAUUUAUUUUCUCUUCCCCUCUAGUUUUUGUGGAUGUUUUGACUUCUCGUCGACAAAUAAUACUAAUCUUGUCUAGUACCGCCUUGGUUUCACCGGCCUUCUAGUACAAGGUUAUUAUUAUUUGGCACGAUAAGCCCUUAGCACCAUAUUGAUUAGAGCGUGGUUCAUGAGGUGUGGAUUCCCCCUUCAUGAUUUAAUUGGCAUUAAUACGGAUUAUAUAGCCCAUGAUGCAUGUUGAUACGGAUCCAGAUACCCAAGUACGUCAAUUUAAUAGAUUUCAUUUUCAAGUUAUUCUUGCCAUUUCAAUUCCAAUUUUAGAAUUUAUUCUCGCCAUUUUAAUUUAAGUUUUAGCAUAUUCCAAAUCAUUUCAACCACAAAUCCCACCACCCAUUUCCAAAAUUAAUUCUACACAUAAUUAAAAUCCACCUCCUCGUGGGAUCGACACUCGUCACCAUUAGUCUAUACUACAAUAGAUUCGUGCGCUUGCGAGUACAUUAAAAUUUGCACAACACGUCCCACUAUUUUAUCAUUUCCUUACACUCCCAUAUGUAAGAAACGGAAACUCUCAUUGGUAAAAGUUUCUAGUAGGAAUCAGAUUCUCAUUAGCCUAAGUUUACCUCACCUAACAGUUCUUGGCUUACUUAUUAUAAUGAGUAGGUAACUCUUACCAAAUGCAUCUCAUGCAUGUACCGAUUAUCCUUCGGCCUCUAAAUCAUUAAUACCUCACCUGACAGUUCUUAGUAUAAAUGAUUUAGUUAAGUUUACCCUAAUACCCUUGCAUAUUUUCAUAACGUCUUACUAACUUCACCUAACAGUUCUUGGUAGCUUAAUGUAUGAAUUACGCAUCAUCGCAUGAUAUAUGGUUUAUUUUCAACAUUUUAAUGAAUGAGUAGCCCAUGUAUCUAUGACAACUAGCCCAAGCAUAAAAUAUUUUAAAUAUUCCAUUGGUAUUAGUAGGCCAUGAUGGAUAUUCUCAAUAUUCAUCAUUACAACUUAACAAUAAUUAUGUUUAUUUAAUUAGGGAGUAUUUGGUCAUUAUUAUGGUCUCACUUUUUAGCAUGUUAUUCCAUUUUCAAUAUUCAAAUAUGUCUAAGCACCCUAAUAUACAUCUCAUGCAUAUUAUAGACAAGCCAACUAAGGAUGAUCAUGGAAUUUUCUAAUAAAACCAAUUUGAGCCAAAAUUAGUUUUAAGGUCCACCUAGGUAUCAAGCAAACAAUAAUAAUUAUGAGACAUCCCAUGCCUCAAAUUAUCAAGCAAACAAUAAUGAUUAUGAGACAUCUUAUGCCUCAAAUUAUUACAAUUAUUAAUUUCUAUUUGAAUGGCCAAAAUAUCAUUGGAAGUGAUGCAACGAUCCACAAAGACUUCUUACUCCAACCUCCAAGGCAUCGCAACGUCCCUCCUUUGACAAUCAUCUUGUAGAAAUUACAUAUUUAGAAGAAUUGGAGUACAAAUUUAGGGGUAAUGGGAUACAAUCAGAUCUUAAUAGAAGGAGAGACAUGCAAGUCCCUAUUUAAAAAUAUAACAACCAUUUAAGCCUUUAGAAAUCGGCCAAAUCAACAAAUAAAUCAAUAGAUCAUUCAAUCACACAUAUAUUCAUUCAUCACAUGACAUAAAUAUAUCAUAAAAUAUCUAGGUCUUUCCAUGAUCGUCCUUCAUGCUAUUAUAAAUGGAAAUAACAUAAAUCAUGCUUCAAAAAUGCGAAAUUGAAUGAAGAUGGCUCUGAUACCACUUGAAGGACAACAUUUGUCCAUGAGGUUCCUAAAAUCGCAACUUUUGUGCAGUAAUAUUAAAACGGACGGCGGAAGCUCUAGAAACCUCGGAUCGGCUUCAUUCAAAAACGAAAAUCAAGAGGAAAGAUUGAAGUUUAAUUACCUCACUUGAAGUUUCGAAAAAGACUUCUUGAGGUAGGAGAAAACGACUGAAAACAGCAAGCUACGAACACUGUCCAGAAAAUACAGCUCUGCACGAACAGCUUCUGUUUUGCCACGAUCUGAGAUCCUUAAGCACCCCAAUUGUGAUGCCUCUAAUUAUUCCACACUUAGAAAUGUUCUAGGAGUUCAGAGGAUUUGGAAUCACGAAAUUUCGUUUAGAAAUGAGAGAGAUAAUGAUGAAACAUGAAUGCUAGUCCAUGAUGAUUCCCCUUCCACCAAAUAAAGCACCAUUAUGUCUAAUAAUGGCACCAAACAUUAUCAUGUGCUAGACCCACCCACUUAGCUAUAAUUUAUUGAAAGUGAUCUUAUCACUUAAAUAAAUUAUUUAAUCAAAUUAAUAAAUAGCUAAAUUAAUUAAUUUCGUAAUUAAUUAAUUAACCCCAUUUUGAUCAAAUCAAAUGGUUAAAUGUGGGCUCAUUUUGUGACAUGUUCUAAUGCUUUCUCUUAAUCCAUAUUAGAUCCAAUAAAAGCCCAAAAUUAUAAACCCAAAAAUGGUCUAGAAGUCCAUAAUCAUAUAUGAACCCGAACAUGUCCAAAAUGGUCAUUUUACGUGCUCGAUAUUACAUAAUGUUUAAUGGAGGAUUUACGAAAUUUAUUUUGUUCCUUAAACUAUUUAUGGAACAUCUAAAUUUCUAUCUUAAAUCAUAUUUAAGAUAUAUUUAUAUAUAUAUGUAUAUUCAUUCUCAAUGAAUUAUAAUAUAAAUAUUGAUUUUCCUAAAAAUAGGAAAUUUAACUUCUCAUUUUCUAGUAACUCCUUUUUCAUUUCUAUUUAAUGUGUGACCUUUUAGGUUCUUAGUUAUAAGGUAGUAGAACUAUUUUAAUGAUAACUCUUUAUUCAUUAAAUGAUGCUAAACUCUUUAGUCAUCAAUUAGAACUCUUCUAAUGACCUUAAGAUGCAUUGAUAAUACGCUUUACCAAUAUUGAUCUUAAGGUUUCUACAAGUCAUGAGUGACACCUAGCAGUAUAUCACAACCAUCCAAAUAACAAGAAUUGUUGGAUCUAUAGAACCUAUUCCAUUGUGUCUCUAUGUCUUGGUCUCUUCAUCAUCCAUGUCCAAAGAAAAGCACGGCUUAUGGUUUAUUAUGUUAAGCACUUAUGCUUUAUCUCAAAACAAAUCUAAAUGAACUUGACAUGAAAAUAUAAUUUGAACUCCUUCAAAUAUAUUUCACCUUGGCCAAGGAUUUCUCAUGCCAAUUCAUAUUAUCUUAUAGGGACAUCCUUUUUGUAUAUUACAAAGUGAUGAAUUCCAUAUUGGCCAUGCACUAGUCUUCAUACAUAUCCAACCAUGACAGUUAUUGCUAGAUCUCUUCCGUGAUUAGGAAUCAAUCAUUAUGCAUUCACAUAUCAGAGAUGUCUAUGUAUAAGACAUCUGUUAUGCCUCAGGUCUAAAGACCAUUACUAAACAUAGUGUCUAAUACAAUGUAUAAUAAGCCAUUAACACUCAAGACCAUAUGGCUUACUAUAUUUGGUCAAGUUCAGUAAACUUGUUCUCUCAACAAGUACCUAUGUGUUUGACUUGACAUCUCAUGUCAAUGAUAUGAAACUCACCAUCCAUUUUAGUAUCACAUACCAUAAGAAGUCAUAACACAUACUAGUGUUUAUAGGAAUUUAUAAUGUCCAAUCAUAAAUCCACCACUAGGAACUAUUUUAGAAGUAUAGUACAAAGGAUACACGUUUCAUAUUCUCGACAAACUCGAGAAUGUGUUCCUUAACUAUUUUACAUCUUGGACUAUAUUCAUUAAAUUAAUUAAUGAAUAUUGAUAACUUUGCCAUUUUAUAAAUAUCAAAAUGCUAUUCAAAUACGAUAAUUCCCUAAACAAACAAACACCAUUUGAUUGGCCUUUAGGGCAUAUUACUAACAAUAGCUGCUGCGUUGAUUUCUAAUGCGGUGGAGUAAUCGUCGUUAGAAUCUGAAUGAUAUGUCUAAGACGUUGCAUGCAUCAAGAAAAUUGCAGACGAUUAAACCUUGCCAUCUAUGCGUUGUAUGAGGUUAUAGCAACUAUCUAUCUGGUCACCGUUUUAAAAGAAUAAGACAAAGGGAAAAAGAGAAAGAAAAGAAUGAUUCGACAAUGGCAUUAAAGUUCAACAUACCCCAAGAUCUUGUAAUAAUGCCAUUAAUCAUUCUCUAGCUAGGCUAGCCUUAGAGAAAAGUGAAACUGUUGCACAGGUAGAAUCAAACCCCUCAGAGAUAUGAUGAGUUCGUGAUGCUUGCAUUUUAUUGAUGCUGAUGAUUCGUUGAAUGUUUUAUGUUUUUGAUUUUUAAGUAUUCCGGAUCGAAGUUUGUGUCUACGCGGAAAUUGUAAAGGCAGCAUAUAAAGUACUCGUCGUUCUUUAGAUUUUAUUGAGUACACUUUUGUCACAUUUAGCGUAUGCUAUACACUACUGAUUUGCGCAUUGACAUAUAUCUUAUUUUAUCAUUUUGAAUGAAUUACACGGCGAGGCUUAUCAACUUUGGAUGAAUCCUCCAAUUGUCACAGUCCAAGACUGGCUGCAGUGAGUGAAAAUUUACCCAUAUAUAUGCUGGCUAUUUUUAUUGGCGACGAAUUCGUUGUAGUUGGUCCAUCUUGCUAUUCUCGGACAAUAUUAGAGAAAAUAAUCAUAUUAUUUCGCGUGAUGUGACCUUCCAUAACUUAUCAAUUGAAUUACUGUAAAAUUAUUGUGUAAGUUUAGGCCCAAUGGCACUUUAGUUCAUCACAUGAUAGCCUGGAUUUAAAAGGAAAACUAUAUUGCAUUGCUUCAAAAAAAAAAUUUAAUGUUUUUAAUAUGAAUAUUUUUAACUAUAUUCAGUUAAAAUAAUAUAUUCUUAAUAUUAAUAUUCAUAGAUGAAAUUCUUUUGCGGAUUUAAGAAUAAAAUAUCAAAUAGUUUUAUUUUUCUUUUGUUGUGUAACUCGGACCGAAAAAGACAAUGAGCUUAACAUGACCCUCCUUCCGGCACUAUGCAUGUUUUUCUUAUAUUAAUGACAGUGCUCUUGGUGCUUCUCAUCUGCUUCUUGCUUUGGUUUCAAACAAGUCUUUCUCCGUCGAGACAUUUAUUGUAAUUUGAUUUGGAGACAUCUGUCGUUCAAAUAUAUUUCAUAUGCAAGCCGUUGAUAAUUCUGCUUGAGAAAGCCUACAAAGCAGCUGUGUGAUGUAAUAGAAGACUAUAUAUGCAAACGGUCAUCAGUUUCUCUUGAAUUCUUUCUUGAGUUUCUUUGAAUUAUUUGUGAAUGAGUUCUUAAUCGGCUGCUGCUCUUCAGGAAAAGGAAAGUGUUGCAAACUGGUGAAGCUGAUCGAUAAAAGCAAUGUACCAUCUUUGCUGGCAUGGAUCGAUGCCAGUGAGUUUUUUUAUUUGUCAACCUUUUUAAUAAUGCAUAUGUUUUUCUUCAACUUGAAGCGGCAUAUAAGACGAAAGAAGUGAUCUUUAAAGCAUUCUAUGGCAUUAUCCUUUCCUAUUAUAUAUAUCCAAUUGCUCCAAAUUAUUUGUAAAUUACUGAACACGAAUGCUGGUGAAUAAACUGAUGGCUCUAUGUAUGUAUGCACAUGCAUGGAGAAAUUUUAAGUCAGACAUUCUCAUAUAUAACUCGUGCUACCAAAUCAUUAAAUAAUCUUGAAAUCAAAGUAAUAAUUAAAUACAAAUAAAUUGCUCGAAUUGUACAUAUAUCUGAAUCAUGUAGUGAAGAAAAUACAACAACAACAACCAAUGGCUCAAAUUCCCCAUCAACUUCUAGUCUCAACACUUUUGAGUGUCAGAAGCAUUACUCUGCUACCAGUUAACAAACAUAUAAUUAGUAAUUAGCUAUUCACUUCCCUUUUAGGCCUACCACAUUUUCUACAAAGAAGCCAUAGAGAAUCAGCAGGAAACACUCAAUUUCAACCUAUGUAGGACCAGGAAUUUCAACCAAAAAAAAAAAAAGUGUGCAAUUGCUUAUCCUAUCCUAUUGCUACUAGAAAGAAAGUGAACAAUUAAUUUCAGUGAAUAAAUUAAAAAAAAAAUUACUUCUGCAGAUACUCAAGCUAAGAACACAUUAACCCAUUAAAGACUCCAAAUUGCAUCAAACAAAUUGUUGUUAAACAAGUAAAACAAAGAAAGAGAGUUAAGGAAGCUGACCUAGUAGUAGGGGAGCUGAAGAAAGACUGCCAGUGAAUGUAAGAGAAAAUAAAAUGCAAGAAAUGGUGAAGUGCAGCUUUUCAUGUCAACUUGAAAAUGAUUUUUCUGUUUUUUUUUUUUUUUUUUUUUUGUAAUCUUUUGGAUUUUUCAAACAAAGAAAAUGAGGAGCAACCAGGGAGAUAAAAAGGGCGCCAAGGCAACUGUGUGUUGGGUUUAGAGCCAAAAAAAAAAAAAAAGAAUAAGACAUCGUGUUCUUGUGGAGACCAGACCUAUUACGUAACGUCCCCUUCAAUACCACUUGUUCCGUAUCUGGUUUUUUCUUCGUCUUUUACAUAUUUAUCCUGUGAUUUUACAAUAACUAAAUAAUCCCCCCAUAGUUUGCAAUUUUAUUCAUUUGAGCCCUACAGAUUUCAGUAAUAGGAAUUAUUAAGGGACAAGAGCGCAAAACAGAAACUCUGUCCACUACUGAUGAUAUAACAACGAACCUUUGUUUUUUUCUUUUUCUUUUUUUAAAAAAAGAGUAACAAAAUAUCAUUAGACAAAUGAAAAUAUUAUCUAACAUCACCCUACUGAUGAUAUAACAACGAACCUUUGUAGUUUCUGCCUGUUAAUAUGAAUUGAUCGGGAGUGUUUCCUCAAUUAAAAAUUACGAAUUUACAAAAUAUGUAUGUAUGUACGUACGUAUAUAUGUAUGUACAUAUAUGCAUACACCUAUGUAACAUUUACUUAUCCAUUCUUUUGAGUUUAAAACUUAAUACACAUUUUCAUGAAAUUUUUUAUUUUAUUAAGUAUACAACUACAUUAAUGUAUAUAUUUUUUAUAUAAGACAUGCCGUCCUAUUAUUCGUAAGUAAAACAAUGUGUUGUGAAUAGUAUUCCGUGUUUUCUCAAAGUUGACUUUUCGUCUUUUAUUUUCAGACGCAGACGAUAUGUCAUUUUGUAAUCUUCCAAACAUAUACAGAGCUGAAUUGGUGUUAUCUGAUUUUGUGAUGCAAUGAUAUUUGCACUUCCUGUGCACUCAAUGGAAUCAUUUCUUUGUAACUAAUUGGGUGGUGGAAUCUAUCAAACUCCAGAAACAGGGAAACCAUGCCACGCUAGUAGACAAUAUGCUAGUUUUAACAAACUUGUUUGAAUGGCAAAAACGACAUGACCUGCUGUAGUAUUAGUUCUUUCCCGAACCAACGGGUGAUUUGCUACGUUGGAUCAUGAAAAUUGAAAAAAAAAAUUAACCAAAAUAAAAAUUCUUAAGGAAUUAGUUAGUUAAUUGAUUGAUCGAAUUUAAUCUAAAUUUGAAAAUGAUAAGAUAAAUUUAAAUUUAUUAUUAUUAUUAUUAUUUUAAAGUGGGUGGGUUUAUACAAUUUGAGCGGUGGAAAUAUCACUGCUGAAUUAUUAAAUAUACAGUGUAAAAUUUUGACCUUUAAAAUAUUCCCUUUUUUUUUAUUAUUUAGAACUAUAAGUUUAAAAAUUUAACAUUUUACCUCAAUAAUUAAAUACUUUUAACUUUAAUCUUCAAAUAUUUACCCUACAACAUUUGGACCUAAAUUUUUAAUCCGACUCGGCCCCUGACCCAAGUGGGAAGAAGAUCAGGCUUAUAAGUUAUAACUAUCACCAACAUAACAUCUUCUGGAAAAUAAUAAGAUUACUCACCUGCAAUUAUGUGAUCAAACUAAUGGUAAGCAAAAUAGAACAGCGUUAUUUCAGCCCCCUUUCAGUUUCUUUAUCAUUUUUCUUUUCCUAUUUAUAAGCUGAAUUCGGUUCAAAAUCGGCUAAUUCACUUUGAUUUCACUUUUCUUUCUUUCGGUUCAAAAAAAUUGAACCCAUUGGCUGUCAAUUCAAUUUUGUUGAAAACCAACUUUGCCUGAAUUUAAGUAAUAAUAGAGGAAAAAAACAAAAGAGUACUUAGCAGAAGAGAUUUCUCAUUUUUUUCUCAUUCAAACUUCUAAAAUAAAGGAAAAAAAAACAAGAGUAAUUGUUAAUUAUCAAAAUUUUGUUUAUACUAUUCCACCAAGAAAAUUAUAAAAAAAAAAUUUUAAAAAUUGGAGAAGAAAUAUGAGGUGAAAUACGUGGAUGGCUUAGACUAAUAAUGUGAACAAAUUCCUCUCGGAAACAUGUCAUUGUUCAUCCGGACAACACGCGGCGAUGAGAUUCAAGAAUGAAAGGAUAGGAAUCAACUGUAACCUCAUAAACAAAUGGGCUUGGAGUUGUAAACACCAAGCUCGGCAGAUUAAUUAAACAAAAAUAUCCGAAUUUUCUAUGAUAAUCUCUAGGAAACGAUCAGCUAUAAUGUACGAAAUUAAAAUAUUGCAUAUAUUUUUGAAUUUUUGAACUCAUGCAUUAAUUUCAAAAAUUAUAUCGUAUUAUAAUUUAUUCACAAAAGAAAGAAAAAUUCACUAAUCAAGUGAAAUCGUAUUCUUAUUGAAAUGAAUUCCAGUAAUUGGAUAAAUAUAAGUAUUUCUUCCAUUGUAAUUUUUGUUUAAUAGAAAAUCUAUUUGAGAUUUUGUGAGAAGAAACUCAACAAUAAAGUUUGAUAGACUUUGUGGAUAUUAAGAGUUUGACAAGUAAUUGAAAUCUGAAGUUUACUGAAGUUUACGAGCAAACAAACUGAAAUCCAAAGUUUACUGAAGUUUACUAUCAAGAGUUUCAAAACAGUGAAAAAGAUGAUAUAGUUGAUGACAGAAACCUGAGUUAUCCAUAGCGACAAGUAACAUACUGAAGUAAGCCGUUGGGAGCUGGCCUGUUCAUGGGCUAUUUUUCUCUGAUGAUCUGCAUUUUUCUUCCUUUUAAGUGAACCUUGACUCGUAUCAAACCUGUCAAAAGAACAGUUCAUCAACUGAGCUGAGAUUUGCUUUCCUUUUUCAAAACCCACCUGAGAUAUUGUAAUUCCCAAAUUUCUCUCUCUCAGCUACACGAGCAAGCAGCCGCUUUUUCACUUCAUCGAAGAAGGUAAGCGAUAUAUCUAUUUCGUCCGAUUGAUUUCUUGUUUCCUUUUCAGUGUUCGGGUAAAUUAUUGGCAUGCCUGACUUUUUGACCAUUACAUGAUUCAUAAAUUUAUAUUAAUUUUGAUUUUGAGUUGACCGGUUACUUUUAUAGGUUUGCUUACUUUGACUAGGUGACCAAUUUCUUGUAACUAAAUUUAUGACGUGAUGCAGGAAGCUGGGCAGGAUAUGAAAUGAGAAUCUUAUUAGUGGAAGGAUUGCCAGUAACAGAACCCAAAGAAAAUGAAACCAUUUCAAGGCAGCAGUUGGCAGUUGGGAGUGAAUGGAGGCCCCUGACAAAACUUCAGUAAACUUCAGAUUUCAGUUUGUUUGCUCGAAACUUGCAUGGUGACAAGGAUACUGACAAGGAUAAUGAGAUAGUUUUUGUGUGAAUGAAAUUACGACCAUCCUCAGCCUCAGGUAAUUUCUUCUCCUGCUUAGUUGUUAUUUGUUACCUAAUUAAGAAGCAUAAAGUAUCUUGAAUCAUUUUCGUUGUCUGGAAUAUAUGCAACAGUUUUUAAAAUUUUGAUAUCAGUGUAAUGAUUGUAAUUUCUGUUUUCUGUCUGUCAUCGAAUGUAAGGCAACUUUAUUAAGACUCUUGAACCGAGUCAUUUUUUACAAUUGAAGGACAAGUGCUGAAGAGUGGGAAUGCAAAAAUUUUUGUUGUUUUUAGCCUUGUUUUCUUUGAACCAGCGCCUGAUUCUCAAGACUCCAUUAAUUUGGCUUUUGAUCAGCUGAUUGAUAAAUGUUCAAUUUCUUUGGUGAUAAAUGUAUAUGUGAAGCAGGUAGCAGGGCAUGACUGUGGAAAAGAGAAGAUUUUAGUGAAAGCCGAGACUCAGAUAAUUCUACGCGUUUUGGCUGAUUUAUAUAAUUCGUGAAAUUUUAUUUCCGUCUGUUACAAGAUCAAACUGCAAUUAGCAAUUUAACAUUCCCUUAAAACCACUAGCUACAUUUCAUCUUUCCACAAUUACACUUAAAAUUCCACUAAAAGAAACUCUUGAGGUGCUCUGAUGAGCAUAUAAUAUAUACAUAUUUUACCCUUAAUUAAAUAAUUGCUAGUUAUAUUUAUUUGUUAUUUUUAAUUAAUUGAAUUAUUUUAUUGCAUAGAGAAUUAAUUGAAGAUUGGAAAUAAAAAGUGCAAAAAGAAUAACAAUUUAGGAGAAUAUUAGUUGAAGUCAUGACAGAGUUAAGAGCCAAGAGCAAUUUGCAUUGAAUUUUAAUUCUCCAAUUGAGUUGCACGUGCAUGGCAUUGCAAAAGUGGAAAGCAAUUUAAAUGGGGCCCACACUUGACUUUCAAAAGUGGAAUUAAUGGCUUAUGGUGGCGUUAUUAUGGAAGCUUUGUUUUAUAAUUGGAAAAGGAUUUUAAUUAGUAGACAAAGAGGAUUCGGUGGUUAAGCAUUAUAAAAAGAGCGUUUUGGCUUUUGAAUGAGGGGAGCCGCCAGAGGACGGAAACAAAAGGGCUGGAAGAGAGCAAUCGGUAGUAGCAAUAUUUCGGCUUCCAUGGCUGAUUUUAUUUCUUGUGUUGCUCUCAAUUUAAGUAUGUCUAGCUAAUUUUCUUAUGCUGAGGUUAAGGAUAAAACCCUAUUUAAUGAAAUAAUUAUCUUUUUAUUUAAUUAAUUCCUUAUAUAUGUUCUUUGAUGAUUAUGGUUUUUAUUUCACAUGAUUAAUUGGAUGUUAAUAAAAUCUUUUCAUCAAUUCUGUCAUGCAUUAUUGAUUGUUAGGAUUAAUAUUCGAUUAAUUCUAUACUUGGAUCUAUAAAGUUUAUACAUGAUUAUCUUUGAUUUUAUGUCUUUCAUUAAAUUGUUGACAUGGAGUGCUUAGGAAACUUUGACUCUUUGUUAUUCAAUAUGUUUACAUGAGAUUCUUAGAUGUCAUACUAUUAAGCAGAAAAAAACCUACAUAAGAUUAAUUUUAUUUGGGCUUAAUUGUUAUAUCCAUGAGAUGACAUAGAUAGAUUUCGAGUUGUCACUCUAAAAUUGGGGAUUAAUUAAUAAUUAGCUAAUUACUAGUUGAAUAGUGGUGGAUUCUGAAACCUUAGUAAUUUGUCUUAUUGAUUUCUCAUUUGCUUUAAUUGUUUUCUUAGUUUAAUUAGUUUAAUUUCUCUUAAAACUCAAUUUGCUCAACUAAGUUAGAAUUAAUAUUAAUUUUAGAUUUAAAUUAGACUUUUCAAUUUAUAACAAUCCCUGUGGGAUCGACCUCGUGCGCUUGCGAAUAUAUUAAAAUUUUCACAACAUGCUCGCAAGCUAUAUAUCAUUAUCCAUUGAAUUCUUACCACAUAUAUCUCACCUUUCAAUCAAUCACAUAAUAAUCAAUAUACAUAUUGUAAGAAUUCAACAAAUGGAGAACAUAAUAUACUAUAAAAGCAUCCAAAAUUUUUCCUUCUCAAAUUAUUACUAAACUUCUUGAACAAGUUGAAGAUUGGGGGGAAAAAGUGCAAGAAGGAAAAGCAUUAUUCUACUAGCUUCUAGAAAGCAAAAUACCUUCUGCUGAUUGCACAUUGGAAUGGGAAUAAGUUGGUAAACAUAUAAGUUACAUAAAUUAUUUUGGAUAAUUCUGCUGGUGAAUUAAUUAUCUUAAAAUCACCCUUUUAUUUUUAAAAAAAUCUUAAGUUAUUUUUCAUAUAUCUUAAGAAGACAAACAAACUUUCAUCGACUCUCCUUUUUUAGCUUUUCCCUUCAAUAAUGUUAGAAAUUCUAACAUUUGAGUCAUGCUUGAGCUUAAUACUAUAUAUCACUCAUUUAUUAGAUGUUGAAUUUUUUAAAUUAUAAAGUUAUUUGACUACCAUCCAAUGAAUGAAUGUCACGUCAUUUAAAACUCAAAGAAAAGUAUUCUACUUCUUGCGGCAAUCAUGCCUUCAUUCAGACUAUGAACCAUUUCCUUUCACCAAAUUCUUCAUAAACAUUGAGUAAGUUUCAUGGUUGGACAUAGUUAGCUUCUGUUUCUUUUGGUGCAUUUAGGUGCUAUCAAGUGACGGCCGUAAGUGUGAUUGCAUUAUUGGGAAAUUUUACGAUUUGAUGGUUCCCCACGUUAUUGCCAAGAAAGUUCUCAUGUCGGAAGCAGCGGUUCUUUUCAUCGGCCUGAACCCGAACCUGUCGCUAUGGAUAACUCAGGUUUUUGUCAUCAACUAUAUCAUCUUUUUCACUGUUUUGAAACUCUUAAUAUUAAACUUAAAGUAAACUUCAGAUUUCAGUUUGUUUGCUCGAAACUUGUAUGGUGACAAGGAUACUGGCAAGGAUAAUGAGAUAGUUUUUUGUGUGAGUGAAUUUUGAGAGCUUGAGUGUUCUGGGAUUUGCAAUUGCAAUCAUCCUCUGCUUCAGGUGAUUUCUUCUCCUGCUCUGUCUUUAUUUGCUCUCUAAUUGAAAAGCAUAAAGUAUUUCAAUCAAAUUCUGUACCAGGAAUACUUAAAAGUUACUGAUUCUUUAUUUCCAUUUGUUUGCAUUGAUAACUUGACGGCAUAUGUACUAGUUAAAAAACAAACAGAAGUAGAGUUUAGGAAAAAGCUUCUUCGGCCACCAUAUUUGAAAAUGAAACCAUUUCCUAGAAGCAGUUGGCAGCAAAUUCAUAUAAAGUGUACACAAUGAUUAGCAGAAAGGUGAUUCACAAUUUCAUUUUUUUUUUAAAUGAAAUUAUUUGUUAAGUUGGAGCUGAUAUUGUUAGAAGGCCAAUGAGCUAACCUAUGACACUGCUUGCCUAGAUUGCAGGAGGUCAAGGCUCAAAAGAAGCACUGAAUUUUAAAAGGCAUGCAAUAAUUCUUAUGGCCAUAAGUCAAUUCAUGUAAGUUUGAAUAAGUUUAAUGGUGGAACGCUUUAAGCUCCUUUUCCUUUCGUGCAUUUUGGGGUGCUAUCAAGUGAUCGCCGUAUGUAUGGAUGCACAUAGCUGCUGCUGGGAAAUGUGAGGUUUUCAUGGCUGGCCGUGUUAUUGUCUUAAAUUAGAUGUGAUAAGCUGUUGCUUGGAGAUUCUGUUGCCAAGACUUUGCUCACAUCAGAAGCUGUGGAACCUCAACCCUUCUCUAGAUAUCAUGUUUUUCAUUGUUUUAAAACUCUCAGGAUUAAACUUGAGUAAACUCUCAGGAUACUGAGCAGGCAAAUGCCAUAACUCGGUUUGUUCUUCAAAAACUUGUUUAAGAUUCUUGACAAAGCUGCAUGAAGUGAAUCUUGGGAGCUUUGAGGGUGUAUAGGGAUUUGGGUUUAUUAGGAAGUUAUAUAUGUAUUUCGUCACUUAUCAUUAUCAUUUUUAUUUUCACAGAAAACCUUCUGAUGGUGCCAAAUUUUCAAACACCGGUCCGAUUCAAAACUUCAUAUUCCAAUUAUAUUCAUAAGACAAAUGGAACACUUUGAACGGCUUGUGUCCGAGCAUUGUAGUUUGAUUUAUUUUGAUGACAGUACCUUUUGACAUUGAGAUUCUUUCAUGAUUUAAACAUUCUUUUUAAAACCAAAUUAUUAAAAAAAGUAACUAACAUAUAUUAUUUUAUUAGUGCUUUUUAAAUCAAAUAUACAUAGGAGAACUGUAAUUCUUAGCAAUCAAUUUUCAACUAAAUACACCUGCAACAAACUAUUAAUAACAAAGUGAUAGAAAAUACUUGAUUUUUCAUACUUUCUAAUUUCUUUUGGUCCUAAAAUAUGGGCAUUUGUGUAAUAAUAAGCCCAUGUGGAUCUCUAUGCCAUGAGUUUGAUAAAUAGCUAUCAAGGAUCACAUAUUAAGCUAAAAAUAUUUGGAGGACAAAAUUGUAAAACUAAAAGGGUGGAGCAAAUAUGGCUAUCUAGGAUUAAAUAGUAAGUCAACUAUAUUUAAAGGAUAAAAUAUUAAAACUUGAACUGUGAUAUUAAAAAUAUCUCAACUAUUAUAUUAUUAAACCAUAUGUUCUAAUAGUUUAUUUUUUAACCUUCAAAAUGUUCAGGAUUUUAGAUUGAAACAUUUUCAUUUGAAAUUAUUUGGUGCAGUCACAAGUUAAGAAAGAAAAAAUUGUCCCAUUGGUCAUUUCACAAAAAUGAAAGCCCUGUAUAACAUGGACUUGAAUGGAAGCCCAAUUGUUUGUGUUUGAUUAAUUGAUUUCAAGCUUUAUCGAACCUUUGGACCUGGAUACUUUACUGCGGCCUCUAAGCGCUAUAAAUUUUUUUGGGGAUAAACGGCGCUUCAAUGAAGGCAUCUCCAAUGCUUAACACCAUUUUGGUGUAACACCAACACUAAAAAAUAUACAUUUUUCACACUAAAUUAUUAUUUCAUCUCUAACUUAUUUACACCAAAUUUUACACCAAAAAAAAUAUUUUUUUUAUUCUUUUAAUUCUCUAGAAUUAAUUCAAUUAACACAAUAAAUAUUACUAUUAAUAUAGAUAAUUAAGUAAUUUUAUCGAUUAACAAAAAAAAUAUAGAAAAUUAUUAAAUUUGUAUUUAAUUAACUAAAUUAGUACAUUAUGAAAAUUAAACAUUACAUUAAUAUAGAAAAAUACAAUAACAAUAAUAAUAAUUUUAUAUCUAAUAUUUUGAUGAUAUUGGAGGAUCUAAUAAUGAUCUUCCAGAUUAUUAAAUAAUUGUUCUAAUUUAUACUAGUAGUAGUAGUUUUUUUAAUUUGUGUUAAUUUAAUUUUGUAUUUUUAAUUUUGUAAUAUAGUAAUUAAUGUUAUUGGCAUUUUAUUUUUAUUAUUAAUUUUUGUGUUGAAUAUUUUUUAUUUAAAUUAUUAGUAUAAUAUUCAAAAAUUAAAAAAUGAAAUAAAAAUAAUAACAAAAAUAAUAAUAAUAACUUAAAAUAUUAUAAAAAAGGACAUAUAUGUAAAUAAGAAAAAGUAAUAAGGAUAUUUAAGACCUUUUCUUCCUAGCACCAAAUGAAUAGUGUUACACCAUAUUUGGUGCAAUACUAUUCAUAACACCAUUUUGUUGUUGGUUUUGGUGCUACAUUGGAGAAGCAUUUUACACUAAAAAUGGUGUAAAAAGUGGUUUGGUGUUAGUUUUAGUGUCACAUUGGAGAUGGCCCGGAAAAGCACUUGAAAACUUUGGAUUUUCGGUUCAUCCAGUUACGGUGUUAUGCUAACGGGGUAAAAGGUUCCGAUCCAAUGAGUUAGGAUGGGAUAUGAAUAUAUAAAUUCCAUAGCAUGUAAGGACUAGGAGUUGUUUGUACAUAUCAAGAAAAAAAAGAUCCGAAAAUUUGAUGAUCAGAAGAUGAAGACACGUUUAUUACAGAGAAACAAACGACAACAUGAUACUAGUAGUAGUUAUUCUUUUCAUCCGAUACAUUACAUUGUAAUAUCACUGCUCGUUCCACUGGUUCCACUGGUGUAAUCAUCCAAAUUCCAACCUCCGUACUCUCGAGAGGAGUUUCCCAUUCAUCAAUUAUUAUUUUUUAUAAUCCAUACCAUCCUGAUAUAAUCAAACAACAUUAAUAAUGUACCAGCCUUUAUAUAGUAAUUAAUUUAUUUAGUUGCCCACCUAAAAGAAUCCUGCAGGAAAUACUGGUUAAAAAAUUUAUUAAAUUUGCUUACCUCUGUAUCAUUAUAUAUAUAAAGACUGAAAUCCAAAUGAAAUAUUUUAUCAUUCAUUCAGCAAACACUUAUAAUUCACGAAUAGUGAAUCUAUGCAUUGAAAAUGUGGAUUAAGAAUUAUAACACAUGAAUUCAAACAUACCCUCGUGAAGUUAAGAAUAAGUUCCUACUUCAAAUGAUUUUUUUAUCUAAUAAAGCAAUCACUUUCAUUAAACGACAGCGUUGAAGGAAUUGUGCAAUUUUUACGUUCUUUUCUAGACAGACGUUACAGAGAUGGGGUAAGUAGAGGGCUGGCCUCAGAUAUCUCACAAUUGUUAGUGAGAUAAAAUGUUAUUGUAAAAGGCGUUUAAUAGAAUAAUAUUAAUUAUUUUGCAUUGUUAUAACAAUAUUUUUUUCUUUUGACAGUUCUGCAGGACAAGUGAUCAGAGCUCAAUGAAUAUAGCCGUGGAGGCACAGCAGAGCAGGAUUAUGAAAAAGAGAAGCUUAUUACAGGUCAUUCAAGUUUACUUGCUUUUAUAUAAUAACUGUUUUGGCCGAUUUAUCUAAUUCAACAAAUGUCAUUUCCGGUACAUAUCUCCAUUGGUAUCAAGAAGAAGCAGAACCCAAAGAAACGUUUCUUGCAUCUUCAUAUUUGUGCGAAUUCAUCCUUUCAUUGAGAAUAACCAUUUCCAGGCAGCAGUUGGCAAUCAAUUCAUGCGCAAGUCGAUGCUAUUCAUAGAUAUUAAAGACAAUGAUGAACCAAAGGUGAUAAAUCAUAAAUGCAUAAUUACCAAACCUCCAUCCUUCUCUCAUUAUGAUUUGAUUUUAAAUGAAUUAUUGCUUGGUAACAUUAUUUCCAACCAUUGCAAGACCCUUUUUUUUUUUUUUUUUUUUGGGAGAAAUUUCAAUUGAAAGUGAAACCUUUAGACAUUUACCUAAUGAAGUUAGUUAAUCGGGAGGGUGGAAAAAAAAAAGUUGACGCAAGUCAAUACACAAUAAUUAAUUAAAUCCGGAGUGACUAAAACAGAGCCACUACUUUUUCAAAAAUAUCUGCAUUCAUCACUUUCUCCAGCAGCUAGUCAGCUACACACGAAUCAAUUUCUCUCCUCGUUUGUCAUCCAAAAUUAUUCACCAAUACCAUGGCUGAUGCAAUCGUUUCCACUAUCUUGGAGCAGCUGAUUUCCUUCGCUGCUGAAGAGAUAAAACAACAGGUGAUCGAAGUUUCACCCCUCAUAUUACAAAUACUUCCAAUGAUUUUAAUAAAUUUUGUUUUUAUCAAAAACAUUAUAUAUUUUUGCUUUUUUUUUUAUUUAUCUGAUAAUUUUAGAUUUUGAAAUUUGAAUUUAAUUUAAUUAAAAGGUGAUGUAGUAACCACUUAUUUUUAUUUUAUUUCAUUUAUAUUCUCAAUAACUACUCAUAUUUUGGUAACUUACUAUAACUUCCAUAUCUAAGAAAUGAUCCAAACCCACAAUUUUAACUCAGCACGAAUAUUCAAUGGUGAUCUAAGCUUUUGCAGAACACUCAAGUUUGUCAAACAGUCAUUAAUUCAAUGUUUAGUAAAAAAAAACACUUCUCAGCACAGAAUUCCAUGCCCAUUACUUAGACUCUAUAUAUGAAAAAUUUCAUAAUUUUCUCACAUUAUUUGAGUUUGGUAAGUGAUUUCAUAUAAUUUCUUUUCAAUAUAAAUUUUAAUUUGGUUUCUUAUAUACUCUCUUUGCUGAAUUUGUAUCUUUUAUGAUUCUUAGAUUUUGGGCUCUAACUUUUUAGGAUUUGAUAGUCACAUUUUAUGCCAUGCUUAGAUUGAUUUUCAUGAUUUUUACUACCCGUUAAGUGACUUAGAAUUUGACAAAAGUUUGAAAGGAAAUCUGCUUCAGGAUUCUGUUUUAACUGACCUUUUAGCGGAAAUAAGAUGCUUAUAACUUAAUGUGGAUGCUAUGUAAAAUCAUGAAAUUUGGAUAGAAUUAACUAGAAAUAUGUACAAGACUCUCCAUGAAGUCUCAUAAUUUUUCAUUCGGUCUGGGGUGUUACAGGUGAAGCUUGUGGUUGGUGUCGAAAAAGAAGUGAAAAGCCUUACCAGCCACCUUCAAGCCAUUCAAGUUGUGCUCGAUGAUGCAGAGGAAAAGCAAGUGAAGGACAAAGCUGUUAGUCUUUGGCUGGGUAGGCUCAAGUACGCAUCCUACGACAUUGAAGAUGCGUUGGAUGAAUGGAUCACAGGAAGACGCAAAUUGCAAAUUGAGGGUGGCAUUGGUGAAAAUGCUCUUAUUGCUCCUCAUAAGAAAAAGAAGGUACGUUUCUGCUUUCGUGCCUCUUGUCUUGGAUUCAAACAAGAAGAAUUUGGCUUCAAACAAGUCUUUCUACGUCAUGACAUUGCUGACAAGAUCAAAGAAAUCAAUGAAGAGCUACGUAAUAUUGCCACUCAAAGAGACAUGUUUAAAUCUGAGAGUGGCAGUAAAAGUAGUGAAAGACCCAGGCGUGUAUAGAGUACCUCCUUGAUUGAUGAGGAAGAGAUUUGUGGUAGAGUUGGUGAGAGGAAUGAACUCUUAAGCAAGCUGUUGUGUGAGAGUAGGGAGCAACAAAAAGGCCUUCAUAUCAUCUCAAUCGUUGGUAUGGGAGGCAUAGGAAAAACAACUCUUGCACAACUAGCAUGUAAUCAUGUUGAGGUAAAGAGAAAGUUUGACAAACUUUUAUGGGUGUGUGUAUCGGACCCUUGUGAGCAGUUUAGGAUUGCCAAAGCGAUCGCUGAAGCUUUAGGCAUUCCCUCUUCUAAUUUAGGUGAAUUUCAAUCUCUUCUUAAACUUAUAUCUGAAUCUAUUACUGGAAAACGAUUUCUUCUUGUCUUAGAUGAUGUGUGGGAUGGAGAUUGCAUAAAAUGGGAACCAUUCUACCUUUGUCUAAAGAAUGGUCUCCAUGGAAGUAAAAUUUUGGUUACCACACGUAAAAAAUCAGUUGCAUCUAUGAUGGGAUCUACUGAUACUGAUAUUGUCACUGUCAUGGAAUUGGCUGAAGAAGAAUGUUGGUCGUUGUUUAAGCGGUUAGCAUUUUUCGGUCCGUCUAUUAAUGAUUGUGAAAAAUUGGAACAAAUUGGGCCAAGAAUUGCAGGCAAGUUUAAAGGUUUGCCUAUUGCUGCAAAGACAAUAGGGAGUCUCAUGCGCUCUAAACAAAUUGAAGAAGAGUGGGAAAGGAUUUUAAAUAGUGAUUUAUGGAGAGUAGAAGAGAUGGAGAAAGGUGUUCUGUCCUCAUUGUUGUUGAGUUACAACGAUUUGCCGUCCAAAGUAAAAAUAUGUUUUUCCUAUUGUGCUGUCUUUCCAAAAAACUACAAUAUAAAAAAAUAUGAACUAAUUACAUUGUGGAUGGCUCAAGGUUAUCUUAGUGCAGAACAAAAUAAGGAGAUGGAGACUAUAGGUGAAGAGUAUUUUAGCAUCUUAGCUUCUCGCUCUUUCUUUCAAGAGUUUCAGAAAAGUUAUGAUAAUCGUAUUAUAGAGUGCAAGAUGCAUGAUAUGGUACAUGAUUUUGCCCGAUUUAUAAGUCAAAAUGAAUGUUUUUCAAUGGAAAUUAAUGUUAGUGAGGAACCAAACACCAUAAACUCUCUUGAUGAGAAGGUUCGUCAUUUAAUGUUGAUCAUUGGUAGGGAGGCUUCAUUUCGUGUCCCUACUUGUAGAGUGAAAAGAAUCCGUAGCCUCUUAAUUGAUAAUAGUAGAACUUCUUGUUCGUAUUUUAAUGGUGAGAUCCUAGAAGAAUUAUUUAGGGAAUCGACAAGUUUAAGGGCAUUAGAUUUUUGGGGAUCAUAUGACGUAAGCCCAUUUUGGACUCUAAAGAUUCCAAGAAACAUAGAAAAUCUAGUACAUUUAAGAUACCUUAACCUGUCUUGUCAGAACAUAAGGAAACUACCGGAGACAUUAUGUGAGUUAUAUAAUCUAGAAAAGUUAUAUAUUACUCGUUGUCUGUAUCUUGAAGAAUUACCUGAAGGGAUUGGGAAGUUAAUAAACAUGAAGCAUUUACUAAAUUAUCGUACAGAUUCUUUAAGGUACAUGCCAGUAGGGCUUGGGAGAUUAACGGGUCUUAGGACCUUGGAUGAGUUCCAUGUGAUUGGAGGAGGAGGUGUUGAUGGUAGGAAAGCAUGUUGGUUUGAAUCUCUUAAAAACUUGAAACACCUUCAAGUAUGUGGUAUACGCAGAUUGGGUGAUGUAUCAGAUGUGGGCGAGGCUAAGCGAUUAGAACUUGACAAAAAGAAAUACCUCUCUUGUUUGAGACUUUGGUUUGAUAAGAAGGAGGAAGGAGGAGAAAGGAGGAAGAACGAGGACGAUCAACUUCUUCUUGAAGCCUUGCGACCACCCCUGGAUUUAAAGGAAUUAGAGAUACGGUACUACCGAGGCAACACUGUUUUCCCCAGCUGGAUGACGUCAUUAAUCAAUUUAAGGAGUUUAGAUCUCUCUUUGUGCGAAAAUUGCAAGCAGCUGCCUCCUUUGGGAAAAAUGCCGUCCCUUGAAAAACUCAGCCUAUUGCACAUGCGGAGUGUGAAAAGAGUGGGUGAUGAAUGUUUGGGGAUCGAAAGUGAUCAUCAUGGCUCAUCUUCAUCUUCAUUAGUUAUUAUUGCCUUCCCUAAAUUGAAAUCACUCACAAUUUCUUCCAUGUUGGAAUUGGAGGAGUGGGAUUAUGGGAUUACAAGAACGGGAAACACCGUCAUCAACAUCAUGCCACGUCUUUCUUCCUUGGAAAUUGUUGCCUGCCCCAACUUAAAGGCGCUGCCCGACCACAUUCAUCAAACGACAACAUUGAAGGAAUUGCGCAUUGUGCAUUGUGGGCUGCUGGAAGAACGUUACCGCACGGGGGAAGGAGAAGAGUGGCCUAAGAUAUCACACAUUCCCAGCAUAGAUAUUGAUUAAGAAGGAGAAGAGUGACCUAAGAUAUCUCACAUUCCCAACCUCGAGAUUUGGCCUUGACAAGUAAUUCCUUCUCUUACUCUGAUUUGCUUUGUUGUUCUUUUUAAUCUAAUCAAGAAGCAUAAAUAGCAUUUUGAAUUAAACUCUGUAUCAGAAAUCUGCA
rnacentral:lncRNA from 1 species